rnacentral:lncRNA from 1 species
CAUCAUCUUAGGACCCACCGAAUUAUAGCACUUCCAAACGAGGUUAAAAACCGGGGAGUUCUGCCGAGCAAUACACAAGCAAACCAACACGUUUUGCUUCAUGUUUGAGCUGAUAGAUAUCUAGCUCCAACACCGGAGAGUCUCUCUAACCAGAAAAAGACUCUGAACCACCUCCAAUUAUGCCGAGACUAACCUCAUCACCUCCUCAUGAAUGGGUCAACAUCUAUCUCCAUUGAAGCCUUUUCUUUUCAUCGGUAAACUUAAUCUUACCGAUUGGAAUUACCUCUUUGGAUAUUCUUUCUAAUAAUAAUGGAAUCGGCAAUAUUAUGGCUCCAUGAGUGGCGCCAUUUACAAUAUUUCUUGUUUCCAAAUUCUUUUAUGCUCCGUAUGGUUUGGCCUUCGAUCAGUUUUAUCAGGCCAUCGGCUAGAAGCAAGUAGAAAGUCUCAUCCAUUUUGUUUACAUGAAUUGAGUAAUACCAAGUAUCUUUCGCCUUGAGCAUGAUGUUCUCCUUCAACUUCUCUUUAACUCUAUGCUGGCCUGAAUACUUGACAAAUAUAUGACUUGUCGAUAACCAUUUUAGCUACUGUUAUCUUAGCAUAUUCUCCUUGGUCUAGAUCAUCCUUAGGUCCAUACCUCUCUACGAAGGUCACAACAUAUUUGUCCGGCUUCUUAUCUUUUUCCUUCAACAAAUUUUCAUGCCCAAUUUGCCUUUGCUGCUAAUUGGAAAAGGUCAUUGUAUAGUUGCCCUUCCAAUCUGUCCCUCAACAUGAUUUUCAGGCUACUAAAAGUUAUUUCAGCAAAAGAUAUUUUUGUGAGUGUUAUAAGACAUUGAUUUCUCGCUCUUUUGAAUCUAGACGUAAACUAAUUUACCAAUAUAUUGUUCUGCCAUUUAAAGCAGCCAAAACCGCGAUAGACACAUAUUCAGCAUCUUCUAUAUCUAGUGCUACUUCGUCACUCAUGAUGAAGCUCGAAUUGAAGACACUUGAAUCAAAAUAUUGAGCAUCUACGGACUUCCGCAGCAAUUGUCUUUAUUCAUGUACAUGAAGUAUUUCAUGUGUCUUUUGAUAUAACUCUUUGGUGAGUCAAAAUAAGUUUGCCACAGAAGCAUUAGGAGUAGUAAAUAAGAGUUCCUCUGUUUCGUGUGUCUACAUGUGCUUGAAGCACGCCAUAGGCAUUGUUUGUCUCUUGUUGAGAUCUGUGAUAAUCUUCUCCAUAGGCUAUGAUGAUAUCCUCUCCGUCUGAAUUCUUCUGUUUCGCGUGUCUACAUGUGCUUGAAGCACGCCAUAGGCAUUGUCACACCCCGAUUCACAAGAAGAAGGGCAUGACGCGGCCAUCCUUUUACCAAAGGAUGCAGCCUCAACGUAACCAAAAUUCAGCCCAAUAUCAACAUAUAUACAUCCACACACACACACACACACACACACACACACACACACACACACACAUAUAUAUAUAUAUAUAUAUUUGACAAAAGGGGCAAUUUGUUACAAUAUCAAAGUAUAUCUAUAAUCCACAAAAAUCAAAACUUGAACCUUCUACAAAGACUAACUUAUAAACUUAUCAACUAUGCAUAAGCCAUACCCAAAAAUUUCUACCACAAAAGUCCUCCCCGAACGAACGCUCACGCUUAUUCGCGACUCACUGAAGAACCUGAAAAACAAGUAGAUGAGAGGAGUGAGCUACCACGGCUCAGUGAGUAACACAUUUCUUCUAAGCGGAUCGAGAAAUCACUAUGCACAUUUUAAAACACAAACAUAACUCACUUUAUCAUAAUACCAAGUCAUAAUUCAAAUACCGAAAGUACCAACGGUCGAGUUCAUUAGUCAAUCUCGUAAAACAUGCAUCAAUGAUCUAUUCCAUUGAUUAAUCUCAUCAAAUCAUAUUGAUGGUCCACUCCAUCGAUCAAACUCAAAUCAUACGUCAAUGGUCCACUCCAUUGACUAAUUCAUACUCAAAUGUCUAACCAUGGUCACGCGUAACGCCAGUGACAAAACGAUCAAGAUUCCCCGCUUGACAAGGUCUCCACCUAUUAUUAGCUGGUGGCUCGGCUCACAAGGAUAUCCUAGAAUAGUAUGCGCAUACUCACACCCCUCAAGGUCCACAGAGACAUUAAGCACCAACCACCAAUCACAAUAUCCAGUAAUCCAACGUCAAAAAAGAAAUCAUAUCACAACUCAAAAUUUGAUAUAUAAAUAUCAAAGCAUUCUUCAAAACAUUUCAAGAAUCUUUCACAAAGAUCUUCACAAAUCCUUUUUUUUAAGGGAUAAGUGUUCCAGAAGUCCUAGAACUUGCAAAAAGUACAUUUAAGUCCUAAAACUUGUUAAAUUGUUUCAAACGACUCCUAAAAUCUGAGAUAGCUAGUAUAAUCACCUAGAGGGGGGUGAAUAGGUACAUAAACAAAUUUUCGAGAUACGGAAGCGAUUUUAAGCAAUCGAUAGAAAGGAAAAUACGAUCAAGGUAGAGUAGAGGAUAGGGAAGAGAGAACUGAAUACAAGAUUUAUAGUGGUUUGGCUUAUUCCAAGCCUACGUCCACUCUUCCGCACUGACAGCCCACUGGCUGGAUUUUACUAUGAACAAAAGAGAAGUUACAGCACAACUUUUCCUUGAUUCCACAGUGUAGAUGUUCUACCACACUUCCUCAAGGUUUCUCACGAGUAUAGACUCUCUUUUGUUUACACGAUUAUGCUCAACAAAUGAAUUGACUAGAAACAAGGAGCUUCAGACUUUGGAAUUCUUCUCUCGUACACCUUCUCGAACAACUAGAACAUCUUCCUUAUAUACUCCUUCAUGCCAUCAUACCCGUUGGCACUUACCAAAGGAAUUCCUCCAAUCUACCCGUUGGACCUUCCAAGUAAACUUUGCCAAUCAUCGGAUCCUUAAUAUUCGAAUCAAUUGUGAUCAAAUAAAGAAUUCCGUUAUGUCACAUCCAGCCAAGAGAUCUUCUCCAGUCGAUAAUGCCAUAUCCUUAAUGAAACAUCCAGUUCUGGAUAGCCUUUCUUCAACGGAUUAGAGACUGUUGAGUCUUGAGUCUGGCUGUCCGGAGGUCUUCAGACUUUAAAUAGUAGAGUCUGCAAUCCUUCAGACUAGACUGAUGGAAACGUUUUGUCAACUUCAAAACACUUCAAGAGGAAUUUCUCCAACAAUCUCCCCCUUUUUGAUGGUGACAAAACUUUCCUGCAGAUUUGGAAAACUUUGACCUGCAAAACAUUUCUCAAGCACAUAUGCAUAUCUUAUAGAUUAAAAUGGCUAAAUGAAUAACACUAGAAUCUGCAACCACAGAAAAUAGGUUAGUUCAGUAUGUAGUAAACCCAUCCAUAAGACAUCAAUAGUAGUUAAUAAGCAGUCGAAUCCAAAUCCCAAAUUUAGUCCACAUCCAGACACAAGUCAAGUCAAAACAAACCACCAACCAAACAAGCCAAAAAUUUAAGUUCAAAGUUUUUCAAGUUGCGACUAAAUUCUCCCCCUUUUUGUCAGCAUAAAAAGGUUGAGAUGAAAAUGAAGUCAAGGAUUCUUGGGAAUACGAACAAGCUGAAAAUCUCCCAUCGAUUGAACGAUGCCUUCUAGCCUUUUAAAGUCUUCCUUCAGCUGAGCAACAUCCUCACCCUUAGCAUUAGCCUGAAUCUGAAGAGAAAAUGCUUGGAUUUGAUCAUUUAAUGAACCCGAAGAGACUUGUCCUGCAUUCUGCAAGUUCUGAACUUCACAUCCCAAUGCAUAUAUCUGACCUUGCAUUUCCAAGAGAAUAUCCAUCACUCUGCGAAAGUCUGCUAAAUUUUCGGUCUACGUACUGGCAUUAGCACGAUCUGAUGGAGUAAAUGCAGACGAUGGCAGAUCAGCAUAAUCAUGCAGAUUUGGCGAAGAAACGUCAUGACCUUCCUCAGGAAACUGAGAGGCAAAAACCUCCUCUGGAUCUGCUGGGGAUCGACUGACUCCCUCACUGGUUGCAGGAUUUGAGGUCAUUCCUAUUUUCUCUUGGUCUCCCCCUGUGUCUAUGCCUUCAGGUGGAGAGCGCUCCUCAUGUUCUCCUUCUUCUUGAUCUCUUUGCUCUUCUUCUUCUUUUUCAACUCUCUCUUGCUCAGCAUUUCUUUCUUCUUCUUCUUCUCUUUCCUCUGUUUCUUUUUCAUCUGCCUCUUUCUCUGCUCUUUCUUCUGUCUGUUGUUCUAUCUCUUUCUCUGGAACAGAUUGACUGAGAUUCUUCAAAGCAGAGAUAGUGAUGUUAUCCUCAUCAUCUUCAUCCUCAACGAGGAGAGCUCUUUUUCUCUUGGAUGGAGCAUCCAUGGGCUCCUUCCCUUUCCUUUUUUUUCUGCAGAAGAGAAUUGAUGAGAUUUGACUGGAGUCUUCUCCUUAAAUUUCUCCAAUGCCUUGCUUAGUUCUUUCAGACGCAUAUUGGUCACCAUUUUCAGUCCUACCACCUUAUGAUCGCACGAUCGAGCACAAAGAAUUUGCGGAGGCUGAAUGUUUAGAUGUUUGAAUAACUUUGUUACAAGACUUGGAUAAGGAAGUUGUCAUAUGUCCUUCAUCACAGCUCUAUACAUAUGGAACAUAACAGUGUGAGGAAGUGAAAACCUUUUCCCAUUGAUGAUGGCAUACAUUAGCUUUGCCUCUGAACUUGAGACAUCAGUCUUGGAAGUUGAUUUCGGUCUGAGGCAAUUAAUUACAAUUUUGUGUAGCAAGAUGUUCAAUGCACUCAUCCUUGAAUAGGAAAUCUUUCCCUCUGUGUUCCUGUCUUUAACAAGUUCCAGAGUAGUACGAGCAAUAGAAACUUUGAUCCGUUGAUACCUUCCUCUCUCAACUCUUAACACAUCUGCUAUCAUAUCCAUAUCCACAACAAAGUCUUGAUCUUUGACACUGAAGGAGAAUCUAUUCGCAUCCAAGAAACUAAGAUUUGAAUAGAAAUAUGCAGAUAGUUGAGGAUAGGCCUAUGUGGAGUCAGAGCAGAAUUUCUUAAGUUGAAGAUGACCAAACUUUUCCCUUAAGUUCACAUUUACAGCAUCCAGAAAGUCAAAAUCUACACUCCUAGGGUUUAUCACCCCACGCUUCAGCAAUUUUGAGUAUAGAUCCAUCUGUUCCUUCGAUCUAAACAACUCUCCCAUUUUUCCUCGAUUUUCCGCCGCAAUUCCCAUUCUUGGCUGAAAUUCGCUGUAUAAUUUGUCAUCAUCAUUUCCAUCCACCGGAUUAACUCCCCAAUCACGAGGGUCACUUGGGAUAUUCGCAAGGGAUUCUUCUGCCACACCCUUACGAGCAAUUCCCAAACUUUCCAUUUUUCGCAAAAAGAUAUAUUCAUUUCCAUAUCCUUUGUUCUUAAGAAAAUCAUCCACAUAGUUCAACAGAGUACCAGUCCCUUUUAAAGCACGAUACAGCUUAUAAAUAAAAGAGGGCCUUUGAACUCUUACAGGGUCUGCAUCUUCAAUGAUUUCUUCAUUUUGAUGAUGAUCAACAUCUUGAGGACUAGAUGGAGGAGAAUGACGCUGCUGAGAAUGUUGUGGGCUCUGCUGCUGAUUUGGAGACACUUCUUCUUCUGUGAGGUCGAAGUGCGUAGCCCCUCACUCAUUCGCCGUGGUCCCCUGCUUGCGAUCCUCGAAGACUUUCUUGAAGACGACAUCUUUCUUAGUCUGUGAAAGAUUCCUUGCUUGACUUUCCCAAGAAAGAUGACAACUUUUUCGAAGAUUAAACAAGAGAAGAAAACAUGAAUGGAAGAUUGGUGCUUUUUAGGGUUUUGGAGUUAAGCGAGGAGAAACCGAUUAUAUAUAAGGCAGUCGUAAGGAGGGAAUACCAACCGUCGUAAUGGUAAGUGAAAAAAAUGCAUUUUUUAAAAAUAACUGCCUUUUUCGAAAAAUAGUUACAUCAAAAUAACUUCUUUUUCUAAAGGAAACGAUGCAAUAAUUUCGUCAAUUAAAGAUAGCGAUUGAGAUAAUCAACACGGUUGACCAACGUACCUUUUCAAAAUGAGAUUAGAGAGAGAAUAAUUUACAGUCAAAGUCUUGCAGUCAAAGUCUUGCAGUCAAAGUCUUAUAGUCUGAGUAUGAGAGUCUCUAGACUUUAACUUCUUCAAAGUUCAAAAUGUUGAGUCUUGAACGGAUAAUUUCAAAUUGAUUUUUCUCCAAAGGCUUUGUAAAUAUAUCCGCCAGUUGGUUCUUUGAGUCAACAAACUGAAUCGAAAUUUCUCCAUUUUGAACAUGAUCUCUAAUGAAGUGAUGUCGAAUCUCUAUAUGCUUUGCUCUUGAGUGAAGAAUUGGAUUUUUGGUGAGAUUGAUUGCGCUGGUGUUGUCACAUUUAAUCUUCGUGCAUGAAUCUUCAAUUCCGAAAUCUCUUAGCUGUUGUUUUAUCCACAGAAUUUGUGAACAGCAACUUCCAAGAGCUACAUAUUCUGCUUCUGCUGUAGAGAGAGCUACUGUACUUUGCUUUCUUGAAAACCAAGACACUGCCCUGCCUCCAAGUAGUUGACAGGUACUUGAGGUGCUCUUUCUAUCAACUCUGCAUCCGGUUAAGUCUGCGUCUGAGUAUCCAAGAAGAGUAAAGUCUCUCCUUUUAGGAUACCAGAGACCGAAGCUUGAAGUUGAUGCAAUAUAUUUGAUAAUACGCUUUGCAGCAGUUAAAUGUGAUUCUUUAGGGUCUGCUUGAAAUCUGGCACAAAUGCAAACACUAAACAAAAUAUCAGGUCUAGAAGCAGUAAGAUAAAGAAGUGAACCAAUGAUACUCCUGUAUAACUUUUGGUCGACUUUCUUUCCUCCUUCAUCUUUAUCUAUCUUCACGGAGCUUGACAUUGGUAUAUCAGACUUUUUGCAAUUGUUCAAUCCAAACUUCUUCACAAUAUCAUUAGCAUAUUUUUCUUGAUAAAUAAAAGUUCUUUCCUUCAAUUGUUUUACUUGAAGUCCAAGAAAGAAGGUUAACUCACCCAUCAUGCUCAUUUCAAAUUCAUCCUACAUAGUCUUAGAGAAUUUCUUGCACAGACUUUCAUUAGAGGAUCCAAAAAUAAUAUCAUCGACAUAUAUUUGAACAAGUAGAAAACUCUUGCUUUCUCUUUUAAUGAAAAGAGUAGUAUCUACUUUACCUUUAACAAAUCCAUUUUCAAUUAAAAACUUACUCAGUCUGUCGUGCCAAGCUCGAGGAGCUUGUUUCAAGCCGUAUAAAGCCUUUUUGAGUCUGAAUACUGAGUCUAGUUUCUUUGGGUCUUCAAACCCAGGUGGUUGUUCCACAUAGACUUCCUCUUGGAUGAAUCCAUUUAGGAAGGCACUUUUGACAUCCAUUUGGAAUAACCUGAAAUUCUUAUAACAAGCAAAAGCAAGUAAUAAUCGAAUUGCUUCUAACCUUGCUACUGGUGCGUAAGUCUCGUCAUAGUCUAUCCCUUCUUCUUGUGUAUAUCCCUUGGCCACGAGUCUUGCAUUGUUUCUUAUGACUUUUCCUUUCUCGUUCAUCUUAUUCCUGAAAACCCAUUUAGCUCUAAUAACAGAUUUACCUUUCGGUUUAGGAGUUAAUUCCCAGACAUCAUUAACUCUGAAUUGCCUGAGCUCUUCUUGCAUAGCUUCAAUCCAGCUUUCAUCAGAUAAAGCUUCUUCUAUGCUUUUGGGUUCUAUUUCAGAAAUAAGAGCCACAACACUAGACUCUUCGCGCCUUUUGGAUCUUGUGCGAAUUCUUUCAUUGAUGUCGCCAAUAAUAAGAUCUUUGGGAUGACUGGACUUAUGUUUCCAAUUGCUGAUUAAUUUGUCAGAUUGAUGAUCACUUUCUUCACUUGAAUCUUCAACAAUCACUUGUUGCUGGUCCUUCAAAGUCUGAGGUAUUUUAGACUUUGUAAAGUCUGGAGCAGGUUCAGAUUCUUCGAGAUGAGUCUGAAUGGAUUCAUUUUGCAUAGAAUCCUGGAAUUUAACAUUCAUUGAUUCUUCCACUAUUUGAGUCUUCUUGUUGUAGACUCUGUACGCUUUGCUUGUGGUUGAAUAUCCAAGGAAGAUGCAUUCUUCUGAUUUUUCUUCAAACUUUCCAACUCGAUCAUUUGCUUUUUUCAGUAUAAAACAUUUGCAUCCGAAUACAUGAAAAUAUGAAACAAUAGGCUUCUUUUCUUUGAAUAGUUCAUAGGGAGUUUUUUCCAGAAUAGGCCUUAGAAAGACUCUAUUUAUAAUGUAACAUGCUGUAAAAACUGCUUCAGCCCAAAAAUGUGAAGAGAUGUUACUUUCAAUUAGAAGAGUUCUAGCCAUUUCUUGAAGAGAUCUAUUCUUUCUUUCCACAACUCCAUUUUGCUCUGGGGUAUAUGGAGAGGAGAAAACAUGCUGAAAACCAGAUUCAUCACAAAAUUUUGUAAAGUCAUGAUUUUCAAACUCACCUCCAUGAUCUGUUCUUAUACUCGAUAUAACAUACCCUUUUUCAUUUUGACCCUUUUUAGCAAACUUUUCAAAGUGAGAGAAGGUUUCAGGCUUACUUGCCAAGAAAUAUACCCAAGUGAAUCAUGAGUAAUCAUCCACAAUUACCAGGCAGUAUUUCUUACCUCCAAUGCUUUGCGUUCUGGUUGGUCCAAAAAGAUCCAUAUGCAAAAGCUGCAGUACACGGUUAGUGGAAACUUGAUUUAUUGGUUUAAAGGAAUUUCUUACCUGUUUUCCCAAUGUACAUGGUGUACAUAGAUCAGACUUUUGAUAUGAUAAAUUGGGUAGUCCUCGAACAAGCUUCUUUGCUGAGAUUUUGGCUAUUUGCUUCAUAUUGACGUGCCCAAGCUUUCUGUGCCAUAAGUUUGCUUCGUCUUGGAUUGAGAUUAGACAUUAUGAUUCAUCUGGUUUCACAUCCAGGAGGUAGAUAUUUCCAUGUCUUCGACCCAUGAAUGACUGAGUAGAAUCUCUACUAAUUCCAGAACAUAUUCCCUAUUGAAAGUUGAUUUUGAAACCAGUAUCACAUAGCUGACUAAUACUGAGUAAAUUGUAAUUGAGCCCUUCUACUAAGGAAACAUUGCUGAUUUUGAGAUUUCCAAUCUUUACAGUUCCAAAUCCCACAAUUUUUCCUUUGCUGUUUCCUCCAAAAGAAACUUUUCCACCAUUCACUUGAACAAGCUUUAUGAAGUAAUUUGAGUCUCCUGUCAUGUGUCUUGAGCAUCCACUAUCAAGAUACCAUUUUACCUUUUUCUUGAUAGUGACCUGCAUUUAAAAAAGAAACUCAAGCCUUCUUUGGUACCCAUAUUUUCUUGGGUCCAUUGGUGUUAGUAUGAUAUGCAGUUUUUGCCCAUACCUUUUUAACAGGUUUCCAAAUCAUAGGACAUUCUUUUUCAAAAUGAUCUACACUAUUGCAUUUUGAGCAUCUGAGAGCAUUACGACCUACUGGUUUUACAAAGUUUCUUUUAAAAUGAUUUUUGUAAGCAUCUCUUGUGGGUCUUUGUUUGAUUCUUUCUUUCACCUUAGGAAAAUCAAUUAAAGGAAUGGUUUCAUCAGUCAUUCCCAAACCAAAUUUAUUAAAAUAAGGUCUUUGAACAUAAAGAAUUUUUUCUAGUUUCUCAGAUCCUAUAGAAAAUCUUUUGGAAAUAUUUGAGAUAUCUCUUUUUAAGAAUGCAUUUUCUUUUAACAAAUUAUCUUCACUUUCUUUAAGAGAAGAAACAUUCUUGUCUAAACUUUUCACUUUUUCUUUCAAAAUAUUUUCCUGUUGUUUUAGAGCAGAACUUUCUUUCUUGAGUUCGGAAAUUCUUUUAAGAGAAGUCUUAAGACUGAAACACAAUUCAUCUAUAUAUUUUGAAACCUUAAUAGGGAUUUUGAAAUUACUUACUUCAAAUUCGCUUUCUGAGUCUGAAUCUAUCUUGGAAUUUGAAUCUGAAUCCGAUUGUGCCAUCAGACAUAUAUUGGCAUAAUCAUCAUCAUUUUCUUCACACUCUGUAUCACUCCAGGUUUCAGCUUUAAGAGCUUUUCGGUACUUUUCAGUCUUUCAUUUCUUCUUCCUCAGAAUAGGACAGUUGGGUCUGAUGUGUCCCUUUUUCUUAUAUUCAAAGCAGACUAUAUUUUUGCUUGAUUCAUCAUCCUCAACAGACUUAGUCUGUUGCUUUUGAAAGUUUUGUUUCUUUGGAUUGAAUCUUCUUCCUUUUCUGUUCAGCUUUAUGAAUCUUCUUAUCAUGAGAGCAAGUUCCUCAUCAUCCAUAUCGUCUUCAGAAUCUGUAGCAUCAGAAUCAUCAUUAGAUUUUAAUGCAAUGGAUUUCUUACCUUUAGGGUCUUCGUCUUCAUUGAUUCGUUCCACUUCAUAAGACUGAAGAGUCCCAACCAACUCAUCAACAGAUAGAGGCAUUAUUCUUUGGGUCUCUCUGAUUGAGGUCUUUAUAUGAUUCCAAUCCUUGGAGAGUCCACGCAGUAGCUUGUUUACUUUCAUGGGAUCAAAAAUUGGUUGACCUUGAUUUUCAAGACCGUUCACAAUAUCUGUAAAAUGACUAAACAUAUCAGUUAUAGAUUCUCCUGGUUUCAUUUUGAAGGCUUCAUAUUGGCCAAGGAGAAUGCUGAUUCUAGUCUCUUUCACUCGAUCGGUUCCUUCAUAAGUAAUAUGUAAUAUAUCCCAGACUUAUUUAGCUGUAACACAAGAAGAUAUUCUGUUAUAUUCAGUAGGAGAUAAAGCACAAUAUAAGGAAUAAAUUGCUUUUGCAUCGAGAGCUUGUCUCUUGAUUUUCUCUUCCUGAGUCAUUUCGCUAGACUCAACAACAUCUUUUCCUCUUUCUGAGACAAAUGCAGCUUUAGGAAUGAUUCUUUUUUCUACAACGCUCCAUUCCAGAGGAUCCUUUGAUCUUAGGAAUGCUUUCAUCUUGUUCUUUCAUAUGUUGUAAUCCUUUCCAUCAAAGUAUGGUGGUCUGGUGUUGCUUUGCCCUUCUACCAGCCCUGGAGCCAACAUACUAGCCAUGGAUCUUUAACUCUGAAGUAAAACACUUCAACAAAAGUGAGUACACAGGCUCUGAUACCAAUUGAGAUAGCUAGUAUAAUCACCUAGAGGGGGGUGAAUAGGUGCAUAAACAAAUUUUCGAGAUACGGAAGCGAUUUUAGGCAAUCGAUAGAAAGGAAAAUACGAUCAAGGUAGAGUAGAGGAUAGGGAAGAGAGAAAUGAACACAAGAUUUAUAGUGGUUCGGCUUAUUCCAAGCCUACGUCCACUCUUCCGCACUGACAGCCCACCGGCUGGAUUUUACUAUGAACAAAAGAGAAGUUACAACACAGCUUUUCCUUGAUUCCACAGUGUAGAUGUUCUACCACACUUCCUCAAGGUUUCUCACGAAUACAGACUCUCUUUUGUUUACACGAUUAUGCUCAACAAAUGAAUUGACUAGAAACAAGGAGCUUCAGACUUUGGAAUUCUUCUCUCGUACACCUUCUCGAACAACUAGAACGUCUUCCUUAUAUACUCCUUCAUGCCAUCAUACCCGUUGGCACUUACCAAAGGAAUUCCUCCAAUCUACCCGUUGGACGGAAUCAAUUAGGAAGAUCAUUCGAGCUAUUAAAGGAACAUGUCGAUUGCCCAUCAAUCCUGUUCGCCCAUACAAUCAGGAUCUCGGUUUCCAUAAGUAGAACCUUCCAAGUAAACUUUGCCAAUCAUCGGAUCCUUAAUAUUCGAAUCAAUUGUGAUCAAAUAAAGAAUUCCGUUAUGUCACAUCCAGCCAAGAGAUCUUCUCCAGUCGAUAAGGCCAUAUCCUUAAUGAAACAUCCAGUUCUGGAUAGCCUUUCUUCAACGGAUUAGAGACUGUCAAUGAGGAUAGACUUUGAGUCUUGAGUCUGGCUGUCCGGAGGUCUUCAGACUUUAAAUAGUAGAGUCUGCAAUUCUUCAGACUAGACUGAUGGGAACGUUUUGUCAACUUCAAAACACUUCAAGAGGAAUUUCUCCAACAAAAUCGACGUCGUUAGCCUUUUCCGUUACAAAUGCUAACGUGGCAUUUUAAAUAAUUUUUAUUUCCGCGUGGAAUUUUUUAAUUAUUUUUUUAAAAUUAGAUUUAAAAAUUAAAAAGAUUAGAUUUAUUCAUUUUAUCUUAUUUUCACUAAAAACUAAAAAAAAAAAUUUAAAAAAAUUAUUUUUUUAAAUGAAUAAAAAUAAUUUAAAAAUACACGUGGAAAAUAAAAAAUUAUUUAAAAUACCACGUCAGCAUUUUUAACGGAAAAGGCUAACGGCGUCGAUUUUAGGGCUCAUUUGAAACAAUUUGACAAGUUUUAGGACUUAAAUGCACUUUUUGCAAGUUUUAUGACUGAAACGUAUUUUCAUGACAAGUUUUAGGACUUCUGGAACACUUAUCCCUUUUUUUAAACAACCAUUCAAAUCAAUGUCAAAAUAUAACUCCCUUCGAACAACAAAAAUGUUAGUAAUAGCUCAAUCUUGUUUUAUGCAACAAAAUAUGCUUUUUAUCAUCUCAUAGAGUAUUUAAUCCACCAUGUUUCUCAAAACAUGAGUUUAAAAUACAAAAAGAAUUAGUGUCAUUCACCUGGGAAAAGCCAAAAAUCAACUACCACGUUCAUACGAACCAACGCAUUCGGAUUCCUAACAAUUAACGGAAAAAUAAUAUUAAAAGGCCGAGUAAAAAGAUAUUCUUAUAACAACUCGCCUAUACUAGGCCUAUUAGUCGAUAAAACGACACCUACGCGCCCCAAAAGCUCACAAUUUAGCAUAAACCCAUCAUUUUCAGCUAGGCGCAGCCCAUGCGCCAACUUCAUCAUGCCAUAACUUCCUCCACAAAAUUCCGUUUCAAGCCGUCUUAUAGUCUUUAGAAAGCUCUCUUAACGUACAACAACAACCCCUACUCAGCCGCCCCAAAACAGUACCGAAAUCAACCAAAAAAGAGACUCGAAGCCACUGUUCGCUACAGUAUCAGAUUGCGCCCCCAACUUCAAAAUUCCGUUCCGAGCAAACCGCAAGCUCAAAUCACGAUCCAUAAAAUGCUAUAGCUUCACAACAUCCCAAAGUACUAUUUCUAAAAAAUAUACAGCUUAACAACUCAAAAAUCGGGCUUCGCCACACAAAUACCCAAGAAAUCCGAAUUUCGAGCCCUAAUUGCGGCGAUUGCUUCAAGUAAGUGAUUAAAGGCUUCAAUUUCUUACCAGCCUUGCAAAACACACUUGAGUCGGCUUGAUGAGGCAUCCGGAUCACGAGCGCGCCAAAUUUUUCCCCUUUUCCCUUUUUCCUUUCUCUUCUUUCUCUCUUCUCCCCUGUUUCGCGUUUUCCUCUGCUUCUGCCGGUAUUCUUCUCUUUCUCUCUUUUUAUAAUCUAGCCGAAGGUUCCACAACUCUCUUCAGCCUCCCUUUUUGACUUUUCAAACUCUUUCGUUUUAUUUUAUUUUCUUGUUUUAAAGCCCAUUAAUUACAUUCUCCCCACCUUAAAAAAAUUCCGUCCUCGAAAUUUAUAGGCACCUCAAUCAUGAAACAAGCGAGGGUAUUUACACCUUGCCUCUUCCUCGAGUUCCCAAGUGGCCUCUCUGUGUGUGUGAUUUUUCCAUUGGAUCUUCACAUAAGGAAUAGUGCGUCAUCGCAACUCUUGAUCCUUCUUAUCGAUAAUACGAAUGGGCUGCUCUUCGUACGUUAAGUUUUCUCUCAACUUCAAUGGUGUUAAAUCCAAUACGUGAUCAAGAUUUGGCACAUAUUUCCGUAAUAAGGAUACAUGAAACACAUUAUGGACUCCGAAUAAUGCUGGAGGUAAAGCUAGCUUAUAAGCAACUUCACCAAUCUUUUCUAAUAUCAAAAAUGGUCCCACGUACCUUGGGCUUAAUUUACCAGGCGUGCCAAAUCUCAUGACGCCCUUCAUAGGAGAAACCUUCAAGAAUACAUGGUCUCCUACAUUAAAUUCUACUUUGCGCCUCUUAAGGUCCGCAUAACUUUUCUGACGGCUUUGUGCUGUUUUCAAACGCUCUCAAAUGAGUCUGAUUUUCUCUUCUGAUUGUUGUAUGAAUUUAGGGCCGGUUAAUCUUUUCUCACCAACAUCAUCCCAGCAAACAGGAGUCCUACAUUUAUGCCCAUACAAAGCUUCAAAAGGAGCCAUUUUAAUACUAGAAUGAUAGAUGUUAUUAGAAGAAAACUCUGCCAAGUGUAAAUGUUCAUCCCACGAACCACCAGAGUCAAUAACACAAGAUCGUAGCAUAUCAUCCAAUGUCUGAAUAGUUCUUUUUGACUGACCAUCCGUCUGUGGGUGAAAAGCUGCGCUAAAGUUGAGUUGAGUACCUAACGCCCCUUGUAAACUCUUCCAAAAGUUGGACACAAACCUGGGAUCUCUAUCGGAAACAAUACUCACUGGAACUCCAUGAAGUCUCACUAUCUCAUUGAUGUAUCGCUUCGCCAUGUCUUCAAGUGAAAGACCAAAUCGAUAAGACAAAAGGUGUGCAGAUUUAGUCAAUCGAUCAACAAUCACCCAUAUGGCAUUCUUACCACUAGGCAUCCUCGGUAAGCCAACGAUGAAUCCAUAGUAAUAUGCUCCCACUUCCAUUUAGGUACUUCAAGUGGGUGUAGCUGACCACCUGGUUUCUGAUGCUCAAUUUUCACUUGCUGGCAAAAUUAGACAUUGGUCGACAAACUUCACAAUAUCUUUCUUCAUAUUGAUCCACCAAAAAUUUCCUCUCAAAUCCCUGUACAUCUUGGUGCUCCCUGGAUGAAUCGAGAAUCUAGUGCUAUGAGCUUCUUGUAAUAUCUCCUUUUUCAAUUCUGAAUCAUUGGGAACACAUAAUUGACCACGAAACCUCAAUGACCCAUCUACAUGGAUACUAAAGUCAUCUUGUUUCCCAACUUCUACACCUUCUUUGAUCUUCUCCAAUUGAGGAUCUUCGUUUUGUCUAACCUUGAUUCUAUCAAUCAAUGUCGGUUGUACUCGAAGAUUAGCUAAUUGAGCACCAAGCCGAUGGACCAAAACCUCCAGGUCUAGCUUUCUCAUAUCUUCAAGAAUAGGCUUUUGAGAAGUGAGCAAUGCUGCCAUAUUUCCAAAUGAUUUGCGGCUCAAGGCAUCAGCUACCACGUUAGCUUUACCUGGAUGGUAAUUGAUAGAUAAGUCAUAAUCCUUCAGAAGUUCUAGUCAUCUCCUCUGCCUCAUGUUAAGUUCUUUCUGAGUAAAAAUAUAUUUCAAACUUUUGUGAUCGGUAAAGACUUCACAUUUUUCACCAUACAAGUAGUGCCGCAUAUUUUUAAUGCAAACACAACCGCCGCCAACUCCAGAUCAUGAGUAGGAUAGUUCUUCUCAUGAGUCUUCAACUGUCUAGAGGCAUAUACCACAACUUUACCAUCUUGCAUAAGAACACAACCUAAACCUUCUUUAGAUGCAUCGCAAUAAAUUGUAAAGCCACCAGUUCCUAAAGGCAAAGUUAAUAUUGGAGCUGACACCAAUCGCCUCUUCAACUCUUGGAAACUGCGCUCACAUUGAUCUAACCACACAAAGUUAACUCCCUUAUGAGUUAGGCGAGUAAGUGGACUGGCAAUUUUAGAAAACCCUUCUAUAAAUCUCCUGUAAUAACCUGCUAGCCCAAGAAAACUUCUUACCUCCGUGACAUUGGUAGGGCGAUUCCAUUGAACAAUUGCUUCAACUUUCUUUGGAUCAACUGAGAUACCAUCCUUUGAUAUUACAUGACCCAAGAAUUCUAUACGAUCAAGCCAGAAGGCGCACUUACUAAAUUUAGCAUACAACUUCUUUUCACGCAAAGUUUGUAAAACAACUCUCAAAUUGUUCAUGUUCUCCCAAACUCCUCGAAUACACCAAACUAUCAUCGAUGAAUACCACAAUAAAUAUGUCAAGAAAUUGCCUAAAUACCCUGUUCAUUAAAUCCAUGAAAGCCGCAAGUGCAUUCGUCAACCCAAAAGGCAUGACAAGGAAUUCAUAAUGCCCAUACCUUGUUCUGAAAGCGGUCUUUGGCACAUCAUCAACUUUUAUCUUCAACUAAUGGUACCCAGAACGAAGGUCGAUCUUAGAAAAUACCUGAGUCACUUGAAGUUGAUCAAAUAAAUCAUCAAUCCGAGGUAAAGGAUAUUUAUUUUUGAUCGUCACCUUGUUAAGUUCUCGAUAAUCUAUGCAAAGUCGCAUACUACCGUCUUUCUUCUUCACAAAUAGAACAGGAGCUCCCCAAGGCGAUACACUAGGCCUGAUAAAACCCUUAUCCAAAAGCUCUUGCAGUUGUGUCUUCAAUUCAUUCAAUUCAGAAGGUGCCAUCCGAUAUGGGGUCUUAGAGAUAGGUGUUGUACCAGGCAUUAAAUCGAUGCAAAACUCUAUCUCUCUAUCAGGAGGCAAGCCAGGCAAAUCUUCAGGAAAUACAUUAGGAAAUUCUCUGACAACAUGAACAUUUUCUAGCUUUACCGGCUCCUUACUUGUAUAUUUUACACAAACCAAAUAACUGCAACAACCCUUUCUCAAAAGCUUUCUUGCUCGCAUAGCUGAAAUUCACCUUGGAAAAGUGCCUUCAUAACUUCCCGAAAAAGAGAAUUCUGGUUGAUUUGGAGGUCGAAAAAUAACUUUCUUUGAAUAACAAUCGACAGUGGCAUGAUAUUUUGAUAACCAAUCCAUCCCUAGAAUAACAUCGAAAUCUCGUAUAUCUAACUCCACCAAAUCCACAAGCAACGGUACAUCAUCAAUUCGCAACAAACAAUUCUUGAAAACACAAUCAGCAAUCAAGAAAUCACUAGUGGGAGUAUCAAUACACAAUUCAUAUUUUAGAAGCUCAGGCAAUACAUCAAGUUUCUUUGCAAAGUCAAUGGAAGUAAAGGAAUGCGUAGCACCGGGAUCAAACAAUGCAUAAGCAGGUUGUGAGGCAAUAGAAAUAUUACUUGCAACAACUGUAUUAGAAGCUGUUGCAUCCUCUCCUGUUAUCGUAAAAACUUUCCCAGUCAUCUUUGCCUUUGCUGGCCUUCUUGUGGCCUAUCAACUGNNNNNNNNNNNNNNNNNNNNNNNNNNNNNNNNNNNNNNNNNNNNNNNNNNNNNNNNNNNNNNNNNNNNNNNNNNNNNNNNNNNNNNNNNNNNNNNNNNNNNNNNNNNNNNNNNNNNNNNNNNNNNNNNNNNNNNNNNNNNNNNNNNNNNNNNNNNNNNNNNNNNNNNNNNNNNNNNNNNNNNNNNNNNNNNNNNNNNNNNNNNNNNNNNNNNNNNNNNNNNNNNNNNNNNNNNNNNNNNNNNNNNNNNNNNNNNNNNNNNNNNNNNNNNNNNNNNNNNNNNNNNNNNNNNNNNNNNNNNNNNNNNNNNNNNNNNNUGCCUUGCACAUCUCGCUCCAAAUCUUUUGUUCCACUCUGAUGGCUCAUUCCAACACAUCUUUAUAAGAUGUCAAUGCUAGAGGUGUGAGUGCCGAACCGAUUUCAUACCGGAGCCCCCUCUGAAAGUGAUCAGCUUUAUCUUGCUCAUUAGACACAUAUUGCUCAGCAAAUCUACUCAUCUGAUUAAAGCGGGCUGCAUACUCCAAAACCGUGGAGUCGCAUUGAGAUAUGUGUAUAAAAUCACUCUUCAUUUUUACCUGAAAUGACACUGGGAAGAAUUGGGCGUUAAAAGCCUGCUUAAAGUCCUCACAAGCUAUAGUACCACCUCUAUCUCCAAGAGCUGGCCUCAUUCCCUUCCACCAAUGCUUUGCCUCGCCUUCUAAAUAUCGAGAAGCAAAGUUAACCUUCUUGUCUUCAGGAACAUCUUCUGCUUCAAAGAUCCCCUCGAUCUUUCUAGUCCACUACUCAACUGCAAGAGGAUCGGCCUUCCCAUCAUAAGCGGGUGGUUUCGCCUCUCUGAAUUGCGCAAAGGUGUAUGAGCCAGUUGCUCCAUCUCCACUUAAUUCCUUUGCUUGACGAUACCAAUGAAUCAUGGCUUGCUCAAAGUCACUCAAGGGAAACGACCGUUGGUUAACUUCCCUGACUUCAUGCGAGUUAUGACUUCCAUCACGCCAAUCCUCCAGUCUCCUCCUUAGAGAUGCACCUCGAGAAGCUUGAGGCGUGUCUCUAGCAUCAAGGGCGACAACUUGCUUCCCUUUACUAUUUCUACGAAGCGAAGCAAGUGUCUCUAAGUCAUGCAUGAUCACCUGAAUCCAAGAACGGAGCUACAACUUAAUAUCUAAAAAGGCUAACGCAUUAAAAAAAAUUUAUCACACAAUCUCACAUCGUCUCAUAUCUACCUAAACAAAUCAAAACCUAAGCUCUGAUACCAACAAAUGUCACACCCCGAUUCUCAAGAAGAAGGGCAUGACACGGCCGUCCUUUUUCCAAAGGACGCAGCCUCAAUGUAACCAAAAUUCAACCCGGUAUCAACAUAUAUACAUCCACAUAUAUAUAUUUGACAAAAAGGGGCACUUGGUUACAAAAUCUAUAUCAGAGUAUAUCUAUAAUCCACAAAAAUUCAAAACAUAAACCUUCUACAAGGACUAACUUAUAAACCUAUUAACUAUGCCCAAGCCAUACCCAAAAUUUCCACCACAAAAGUCCUCCCCGAACGAACGCUCACGCCUAUUCGCGACUUGCUAAAGAACUUGAAAAACAAGUAGAUGAGAGGAGUGAGCUACCAUGGCUCAGUGAGUAACACAUUUCUUCUAAGCGGAUCGAGAAAUCACUAUGCACAUUUUAAAACACAAACAUAACUCACUUUAUCAUAAUACCAAAUCAUAAUUAAAAUACCGAAAGUACCAGUGGUUGAGUCCAUUAGUCAUUCUCAUAAAACAUGCAUCAAUGGUCUAUUCCAUUGAUUAAUCUCAUCAAAUCAUAUCGAUGGUCCACUCCAUCGAUCAAACUCAAAUCAUACGUCGAUGGUCCACUCCAUUGACCAAUUCAUGCUCAAAUGUCUAACCAUGGUCAUGCGUAACACCCGUGACAAAACGACCAAGAUUCCCCCAUUGGCAAGGUCUCCACCUAUUAUUAGCCGGUGGCUCGGCCCACAAGGAUAUCCUAGAAUAGUAUGCGCAUACCCACACCCCUCAGGGUCUAUAGAGACAUUGAGUACUAACCACAAAUCACACUAUCCAGUAAUCCAACGUCAGAAAAGAAAUCAUAUCACAACUCAAAAUUUGAUAUAUAAAUAUCAAAGCAUUCUCCAAACAUUUUAAGAUUCUUUCACAAAGAUCUUCACAAAUCCUUUUUUUUAAACAACCAUUCAAAUCAACGUCAAAAUAUAACUCCCUUCGAAAAACAAAAAUGUCAGUAUUAGCUCGAUCUUGUUUUAUGCAACAAAAUAUGCUUUUUAUCAUCUCAUAGAGUAUUUAAUCCACCAUGUUUCUCAAAAUAUGAGUUUAAAAUACAAAAAAGAAAUAGUGUCAUUCACCUAGGAAAAGCCAAAAAUCAACUACGAUGCUCAUACGAACCAAUGCAUUCGGAUUCCUAACAAUUAACGGAAAAAUAAUAUUAAAAGGCCGAGUAAAAAGAUAUUCUUAUAACGACUUGCCUAUACUAGGCCUAUUAGUCGAUAAAAUGACACUUAUGCGCCCCAGAAGCUCACAAUUUAGCAUAAACCCAUCAUUUUCAGCUAGGCGCAGCCCAUGCACCAACUUCAUCAUGCCAUAACUUCCUCCACAAAAUUUCGUUUCAAGCCGUCUUAUAGUCUUUAGAAAGCUCUUUUAAUGUACAACAACAACCCCAACUCAGCCACCCAAAAAAAGUACCGAAAAAAACGAAAAAAGAGACUCGAAGCCACUGUUCACUACAGUACCAGAUUGCGCCCCCAACUUCAAAAUUUCAUUCCGAACAAACCGCAAGCUCAAAUCACAAUCCGUAAAAUGCUAUAGCUUCACAACAUCCCAAAGUACUAUUUCUAAAAAAUAUACAGCUUAACGACUCAAAAAUCGGGCUUCGCCAUACAAAUACCUAAGAAAUCCGAAUUUCGAGCCCUAAUUGCGGCGAUUGCUUCAAGUAAGUGAUUAAAGGCUUCAAUUUCUUACCGGCCUUGCAAAACACACUUGAGUCGGCUUGAUGAGGCAUCCGGAUCACGAGCGCGCCAAUUUUUUUUCCUUUUUCCCUUUUUCCCUUGUUCCUUUCUCUUCUUUCUCUCUUCUCCCCUGUUUCGCGUUUUCCCCUGCUUCUUUUCUCUUCUUUCUCUCUUCUCCCCUGUUUCGCGUUUUCCCCUGCUUCUGCCGGUAUUCUUCUCUUUCUCUCCCUCUUUCUCUCUUUUUAUAAUCUAGCCGAAGGUUCCACAACUCUCUUCAGCCUCCCUUUUUGACUUUUCAAACUCUUUCGUUUUCUUUUAUUUUAUUUUCUUUUCUUGUUUUAAAGCCCAUAUAUUACAGGCAUUGUUUCUGUCUCAUGUGAGAUCUGUGAUAAUCUUCUCCAUUGUCUAUGAUGAUAUCCUCUCUCUCUCAUCAAGGAGUUAGUGAAAUCUUAUGUUGUCUGGUUAAUGAUUUGUUUUGACUGUGUUUGACGGUCCUAUAUGCAACAUUCAAUACUAAAAUCAAUUUUCUCAGACUCGUUCUUUACUGCAACCUCUCAUAGGAGUUCGUAGUCUAAUGUCCGGAAAGCGCUCUCUUAGUGGAUAUACUUAUCGUUUUACCCUCAUCUUGCGACUGAACUAAAGUCAAUUGCUGAAUACCGAGAGUUGGAUACACAACUGCUGUUUGUGGAGACCAAGUAUCCAGUCUCGAAUCUGGAAUUAGUUCAGAUUCUACUGGAAACUUUAGCCAGAGAUGGAUUCUUUGUGGGAAAUCAUGUCAGAUUAAUGGUAACUUUAGACAAACUAUAGUAUGAUCACCCAGCUUUAGCAAAGAAUUUGUUGCUGCCUUGUUUGGAAUGAGUAGUUCAACACUCCUGUUCUCCGUGACUUUACUGCGAUUGGAUAAUAGAAUUCCAACUAUCUUGACUAGCACAAGAGCGUGAUUGUCGAGCUCCAUUACGCUUGCUUGGAUGACGAGCGCAAUAAUUAAUAGUGCGUGUGAGUAGAUACGUUCUUUGAUCUUUGCUGGGUUUUUUCUGCUUUAGUUUACACUAGAUGCUCAUUGUCUGUCACAUGUUAAAAUCUCGAAAUGCAGCGUGCCAGUGUUGACACAGGUAACAUAUUUACGUGGUUAACUAAGCAUGUCUGAGCAUGUCGAUGAUAGUUACUUGUGUAAUAUGCCUUGGCAAGAUUCCUAGAUGUGUUGGCAACUUUGCUCUGACAACUCCUAUUGAAUUAGUAAGUGUGCACUGCAUAGAAGGGAAGCGUAUGAUAUGGUCCAAGAUGAAUUCCUUCCGUGCAUCGGGUUCAUUGGGACCAUUAAUCACAGACCUCACGAUGUGCUGGAACUAGCGAUGAGGAUUGGUUUAGUUCAAUCAUGUGGACUCGAUGUCACCAAGUUUUAUCUUCCUUACUCAUCUAGAAGGCUCGAUCUGUCAUUGCCGGGUCAUCCUGUGGAGAAUUUGCCCAUGCACUCAACUCCACCAAAAGACCAAUUACAUCAGGAAACUAAUCAGAGGCUGCUCCAUUGGAGAAUAGGAGGGCACGGCGAACAUUCAAAGGUUGGCCAUUUGACUUGGGCAUUACCAAAAAAAAAAAAAAUCACCGGAGAAUAGGAGGGCACGGCGAACAUCCAAGAGAGGUCAGAUCCACAAAUGUGAACACAGAUAUUCGAUACAUGUGGUUACAUAGUUUUGAGGACGGUUGAAAUUGCAUAGGCAAGAUUGACCAACACCUGAUAAAAGUUCGUAUUUCGACCAAAAAUAAGUGACAUGAAUUCGAAUGGAUCAAAGUAUAGAAGUAAACUGCAAAUUUUGGACACUCAUAUGGAGAACUUGAGAUGAUCAUUAUCGAGUAGAUUUAAUCAUUUUGUUACUAGUGAGCAUGCGUUGAAUGAUCAAUAUCUUAUCAUUGCAUUAACUAAGUAAAAUAUAGUUAAGUCUCGUCAUCUACUAAAUUUAAUUGAUUCAAGCAUUUCUUCUUUCCUUGGAGAAAAGAAAAGAUCGUAUUACUUCUAUACAUUAGAUGACAAAUUAUAACCUUGUCCCCUUUUGAUCUCUAAAAUGAAAUUAUGAGAUUAAUACCAAUGCAACUCACCUGAAAUGUGCAUAAACACGGAUGCCGAGGAGGGCCUAGAUAGUGAAACACGAGGCCGAGACAUGAAAUGGAACUUGAUAAGGACAGACCGUCGCGAGUGAUCAAUACGCUCGACUAGAAGAAAAUAGUACAACUCCUCAUCAAUAGGGCUUUCGAAUGAUUACAUGAAGAGGGAUUAAUGGGCGGGGCCGGCCUUCAGGUUAAAUUGGCUCAUAAUCUUUAGGAUUUUCCUUUGCUAGUUGAAUUGGCCUAUCAACCCCGCUACCGCUUACUAGUAAAAGGCCCCGAUAGAAAAUUGACGGUCGAACAUUUUAAACAUCAUUUCCCCCUUUUCAGACAUUUAAAGGGGCCAGAGAGAUUCUGCCGGGGGCAUUUUCCUUGGUGGCCUUGCUUGAAGUAUAGUACAUGAGGUCGGAAUAUCAAACUCGAGACUUCAUACUUCUCGUGACGUAAAUUCUCAACCAUUGGCUUGCUCGUUGAUCCCUUUGAAUUGUUAUAGUGAAAUUGCCGUCACGUAGUUCACUUAACUUGAAUGAAACUAGGAUAAUAUUAAUGCACUCGAGUAAGAUAGGGUUCAUGUGCUAUUCACCCAUUGAAUCCAAGGCAAAUACAAAUCAAGAUAAACAAUUUCAACCAUUGAAUCCAUUUAGGUGUAAGUUGUUCGAAUAUUCAAGAUCUUGACCUCUCUCAUUUCAAAGAAUAGAGAUGUCAAUACGACCACAUGUUAAAUGGGAAAAUUAUUCAAAAAGUUAUAAAUUUAUUGUGCUUUUGCUAAUUCAGUCUUAAACCCUUUUAAUUUUCUCAAUUCAUAGUUGAGUCAAUCUAGCUAAUUUUGGCUGAAAAUUGUUAACAUGGCACUGAUAUGGAUAUGUUUAAAUAAUAUUUUGAAAUUUUUAUGAUUUUUUUUCCUUUUCUUUGCUUUUUUUUUUUUUUUUCCGAUUUUUGGAGCUAGGGUCAGUGAUGGUUGUUGGCCAACCCUCGCUAGCCACAAGCAAGGGCAUUGUGGCCCUCGCCUAGAGUCGGCCUAGAGUCAGUGAGGUGAGGAUUGGCUGGGCCUCGUUUGUGGCUAGUGAGAGUUGACCGGCCACCCUUCUCUGCCCUAACUCCAAAAAAAAAAAAAAAAAAACAAAGAAAAGGAAAAAAAGAAAAAAAAAUCAUUAGAAAUUAAAAUUACUAUUAAAAUAUAUUCACGUUGGUGUUAAUCAUGUCAUAUAAGAUGGUCGCGUCCAUACGAUCGGCGUCCACAUUAGUGAAUUCCGAUCAAAAUUAGCCGGAUUGAUUCAAUUGACAAUAUAUGAAAAUGUUUAUGAUUGAAUUGUGAAAAUUGAAAAGUUUAUGACUGAAUUGGUAAAAGUGUAAUGUGUUUAAGACUUUUUGGACAGUUUUUAUUUGAUAAAUGGUUGGUGAGUACCUUGAGAUAAAAACGUUUUUCUUUCGGCCUAAAGGGGAGAAAUUUGAUGGUUCCCGACAGGACAAAGACUAAUCGACGUUGAUUCCUUGAUUUCCUACUUAAAUCUGGGUAAGAAGACAAAUCUAGACUUCUUAUUUUUCAGUUUCUCCUGAUUAGACGUAAGUCCAUCAACUGUUCAAGGCGACCAAUUUACAAUACCACUCAUGAUGUCAGGGCUGGGAAAUUAAUUAACCAUUUCUGUUAUGAACACACCUCGACACGACAUGAAAGUAAAGAAAAGAACAAACGAAUAUAGACGGCUUGAUCAUUAUAAGAGUAGCUCGAUGGUAAAUAAAAUGAUUAAGCUCGUUCGAGCUCUACCAAUUGUGAUAGGAAACAUGCUAACAUUGUUGCAUCUCACAUGUACCAGAGCUCACUGAGUGUUAGUUACAUAAUCUAACGUUCGCACAAUAUAACGAAAAACUUCAAACUUAUAUACUUGAGGUAACUUUAUCAUAAAUUAAUUUUUUAUUACUAAAAAUCUAAAAAUCUAAAACUGAUACAUUUAUAACAAUUUUACCCCAAAUUAAUUUUUUGACCAAUAAAAAGUUCAAAUGGAUAUAUUUAUAAUAAAUUUACCAUCAAUUAAUUUAUGUUCAAUUAGAUUAAUAUUGCAUAAAACUGCAAACCGGUACAUUUGUAAUAAAUGGAUAGUAAAACCCUAAAUUGAUAUAUCCAUUAACUGUCACAUAUAAUCUAAUUUAAAAAUUUGAUAAUAAAAUUCAACGAAGACUAGCGGACGAUAAAUUUGUUGUAAGUAUGUUAAUUUAAAGUUUUUCGUGGUAUUAUUUUUGUUUAACUGUAGCACCCACUACCAUCUUAAAUUGACCACAUUAUCCCUUACAAGUCCUAUUUUUGAUUUAAGAUUAUUUCUUACCUUAUUUUUCUUCUUUUUGGUUGGUUUCAGUUUUACUAAAACACAAAGUUACUCUUAUGUCUUACUCCUCUCGAUUAACUUGAAUCUCACUUCAGCACGUUCUUGGAACUUAAAAAAUUUUCAAUUACAAAUCUGCCACACAACAAAGACUAAGCUCAAAUAGGAGGUCCACUCAUUUAAAAUUAUUUAUUGCCUUCUUUUUCUGUUUCUUGUUUUUUUUUUUUUUUUUCAUUUGGGAUGAAACUAGUGUCAUUGCUUUCCAAAAAAAAGUAGCUGACAAAUAAAAAUUUUCAUAACAAAUUUUAAGAUUUUCAGUGUAUUUAUCUCUUUUAGGUAUGUGAUUCUCCAUAUUUAAGGGGUAAAGUUACUAACAAUUAGAAUUUGGAUUGGAUGGGGCAUGACUCAAGUCUAGAUUAAAUCAGGUAUAUAUCGCUAAAUUUUAUUAUGUAAAAUAUGUGUCAUUUUUAGUUUGACUCAUUUUUAACCCAUCCAAACCAACCCGAUCCACAUAUUUGAUAAGUCUAAACAUUAUGCACCCAAGAAAAUGGAAUUGGGGGAAGAAAAGCAUAAGCAGAACAUAGUCAUGUCGUGCGUGUUAAGUUUAACUCCACAAAAAAUUUUCUCUACUUUGAUUGAUGACUUCGUUUUUCCGCCGUGGAGCAAUACAUACUCCCAUCUUCUGUGAAACUUCCUCAACGUAUCCUCCAUGAAGACAAGCGUCAUAUGUUUUGUCUAACUAUGUAGUAGUGACCCAUACCUAAGAUUAGUUUCUGAAUGUCUGCUAUAGAUAUAGAAUAUAUGAGAGAUGGCUAUGUAAAUUUGAGCUAGAUAGAGAACAAUUUUGUGCAAUUUGAUAGAAGGUGUUGAACAAACCUGUAUUUAUUGAAGAAAUAAAAGCUCACAGAUGAAGAGUACGCACUCUUGCUACUUAGACUACAAAGAAAAUAGUCACAUCUGCAACGAGAGAUGCUGCCUAGGAAUGUCGGUUAAUAUAACUGUUGAAUGUCUAAUCUUUUGCCACAUUUGUACCUCAGUGAAAAUGGCAAAUCCAUUGAUUGCUUCCAAGAAAACUCCUUCACUCAAAUACUUUCUAGAAUGAAAAAUAAUUGAAUAACAGUCUUUAAUCUACCGUGAGAAUAACAAUCUGUUUUAGAUCACAAAAAAUCAGAUAACAAAAAUUUACAAAAUAUUAUGGAGUCCACUCAUUUAAGAAUUUGUGACUCAUAAUAAGCUGUUAUUCUCACAAUAGCUUAAAGAUUAUUGUGCUAGCAAAGCUCUUCUAGAAUUGCUAUCAAAUGAUGCUAACACAUAAGGAACCAAGAAAUAAGACCCAAUUUUUUUUUUAUAGCAUUUAGUGUUGAGAACAGCCAGCACCAUCUCUCGCAUCCGCAACACUGUUUACAACAACUUUGGUCCACAUUGGACAUGGAUAAGGCAAAAUCGCACACCUGUAACGAGGCAAUCGGUCACUUCAAAAUGAUUAAGCAGUUCAAGGGACUUUCAAGGAUUUUCGCCAAUAAACCGAAACGCAGACGAUUCACUGCAAUGACUUGCCGAUGCACCAUUAUUGCCUAUGAAAUGCAAGAUAAUUUUUCCUUGAACCAUCUAUUAUUGAUGAUUCCUGAUGAAAAUCCAUAAAUUAAAAACCCCUGAGAAGUUCCCGCUAUAGUAGUAGCCCAUUUUAUUGGCAGCAAUAAAGGGCUAAAAGGGAGCUUUGUAAAGAGUCCUUAUGGGAGACUGAUCCCUCAUUUAUUCAUAUUGCUAGAGAAAUGAACUUAAUACAUUUGCGUCUGUUCUUCCUCGGAUACUUGAGCCAUCUAGGCUAAAGUUACUGGAUUCGUUGCUCCUCUAGACUACUUACAGGUACCCCGCCUUGAAGUAUGAUACAAAGAGACCCAAAAGAUAUCCCGAGAAAAGGGUGGGAAAUUAUACGAAGUUUGAAAAAACUGGCAAACUCUCGUCAAACCGAGAUACUCCAGGUCACACUAUCUCGAGGUAUUGUGAAUGAGAGGCCACAAGAAGGGCAGCUCCGAUGCCUGAGCUGUCAUUCGAAAGCACAAUCACCGUAUUCUCAGCAACUUCAGGUUCCAGCAACUAAUUGAGAGUGGCCUCCACGUAGAUCCGGAAUUUGGUGUAGUGCUCGAACAGACCUCCAUCCAAAGCUGUAACUAAUCUCUGGUUCUCCCCGUCCCUAAGGGUAUUGUUGGAAAUUAUAUCCAGAGAAUACAUACUAUUUGUUGUAAUCAGAAUAUCAAUAUAAAGAAGACGAUAACAGUUAUAUAAUAUCAUUCUUUUUAUGUAAACUCUUGGAGAAGAAUAAAAUAAUAUAUCACUGAAAAAAUAACAUAAUAAAAUUGGAAGAAUAAAAUAAUAUAUCACUGGAAAAAUGACAUAAUAAAAUUGGAGGUGAGCUACGGAUAACCGAAUCUCCUUAAGGCAAUUAGUUCCUGCCCAUGGUGCCCCGCAGAUUCACGAAUUAUACCUCCCAAGAUACAACACCUCGAACCUGUUUGGAUUAGCACUAUGCAAACAGGACUAUAUCGAACCGUUCAAUUAAACCAGCACACCCAAAUAAAACAGAAGAGUAGAAGAGGAUAUCAAAGCUCUUUUUUGGAAUCGAAUGGGGAAAACCAAAAACCAAAAACCAAAAAAAACCCUUUUGAAGCUCUAUGCUCCUAUCUAUUUAUAGAGAUUUUUAGUUCAUGUACUAAAGAGAUACAUGAAUUAAAUAGACGCGUGUAUCCACGAGAUUCAUGAAUAAAGAGAUACGUGAAGCCAAUAGAUUCAUGAACUCAAUAAAUACAUGAACUAAACGAUACAUGAAUCUAGGAAAUUCAUGAAUUCAAUAGAUACGUGAACAUAAAGGUAUAGGAAAUUCAUGAAUCCAAAAAGAGAUACGUGAACAGAAAAAACGUAUAUUAAUUUAUUGGCUUCCGUUGAUCCAUUAACCAUAAUUAUAACCAUAAUUACAACAGGUAUCUCUUCCUAGCUUCUUCUGAAUAUCCUAGCCGGAGCAAGACAAGCACCUCACGUGGCAACUAUGUCACAUAGGUUGACUCCAACCACCUCCUCCACUCCUCUCCUCCUCCUCCUCCUCCUCCUCUCACCACCACGACACCCGCCGCCACAAUGGCACACACGAUGAUCACCGACUUCUUGCUCAUCUCCUACCGCUGCCACCAACUCCACAGCACACAGACCCCAAGCAAGUUACGAUUCGGCUUUCCUCGCAAGCUUGGUCCUUUACUAUAUUCUCCCACUCCUCAACAAUCCUGGAAUUUUCCGAGAGAACCAAACAGAAGGAAAGAGCUUGAAUUCGAGCGAGCGCCAAUGGAAGGUUAGUCUCCCUCUCUCCGGGCGUGCCUAGAUAAGUCUCUUUUCUGAUACAGCAGAUGCAAGUAGAUGAUUUUAUAAAGACGAAUUACACGUUUGGCGUUUUGGGUUUCGGACUUUAUCAUGAAUGUGAUCAUUUGAAAAAGUUGAGAAUGGGGCCUAGGGUUGGUGAAGACUUGGCCUUUUGUAUUCAGGAUAGUUCUUUUAGGACUCCGGUGAUCACAUGUCCGAUUGUGGACAUCGGCGGCCUCGAGAAGAUGAAAUUCUCGGUGCUUACUCGGUGCUCAGCUUUAUUCUUCACUCUAGUCAAUAUAGUUUUGCUAAGUCAUGUCAAGCUCGAACUCGGCUUUAUUGAAAUAUACCCGACGUCGGCUUACCUGAACUCCGUCGUCCUUAUUUGAGAUCAANNNNNNNNNNNNNNNNNNNNNNNNNNNNNNNNNNNNNNNNNNNNNNNNNNNNNNNNNNNNNNNNNNNNNNNNNNNNNNNNNNNNNNNNNNNNNNNNNNNNGAUCAUACUUUGAUGAAAGCUCAUAAUAUUCAAUAACACGCGUAACUAAACAAGUGUUUUUAGAGGUAGAUAUCUUGCUCAUUUAAAAUCCAAUAAAAAGAAAUUUAUCUUGCGCUAUGGCAUCUUUAUGAGAAAUCAUUGCUUGGUUAGAAUGCAGCAUCAAUGAGAUUCCGAUUCAAAAAAUCUUUGCUCAUAGAUAACGAACGGCCGAGAUCUAUCCUUUUAUGAUCGCAUCUGCCAACCCGAGACAGCAGAAGCACCUGGGUGAUUUGUUUGGUUUUUGUAAACUUUCUGUGUCUCCCAGCGAGUUGGAUAAUCCCCAGAAUUCGCAUUGACCAAAACAAGCUGAGAACAUCUCUUGCAUUGUAAGUCUGCAACUUGAGCUGCUCUUGAGCCUGUUUAGGACUUUAUGCGGAGUCCACUUUGGAUCCAUUUGGCAAGGCUUUUAUUCCGGGAAACAAUUUUUUUUUCAAAAAUAAUAUUUUUCUAUUUCUAUUCACUAGAACAAUUUCUCAAUAAAAGAAUGCAUUUUGUAAUAACAUAAACUUUCUAUUUUCAAAAUGAAAAAAGAAUAGUAAUAUGUUUGGUACAAUUCACAAUUUUUUUUAAUGUAGAUUUUUUUUUUUUUUUAUUCUUCCUUACCGUCGAUGACCACUACUGUUGCCGCCUAACCCAGCUGCCGAUGACUAUUGAUGACAUCGACCGUUGCCUGGCACCACCAAUAGCUGCAAUCAAUGCCGAUCAGGGCCAACCAACGUCGGCUACAGCGGUUUGUGGCAUCUAGCAGUAGUUGACAUUGUGAGUGCUAGUAUGAACAAAAUAAAGGAGUUAGGGAAGAGAAUAAGAACACAAGAUUUAUAGUGGUUCGGCUUAAUCCAAGCCUACGUCCACUCUCCCACGAUAACAGCCUUCUUGGCUGGAUUCCACUAUGCAAUCAACAAGAGAUUACAACUUCGAGUGCAAACACUUAGUAGUAGAUCACACUAUCUCACUAAGUCACUCUUUUGGUAUUUCUCUCACGAUUACAAACGUUUAAGCUCUCAAGAGACAAGUAUAUGAUCGAAAGUCGCUCAGACUUUGGAAUUAUAAAUUCUACGCUCCGUCUUUUACUUGCUCAUCGGUCCAUGAUCUCCUUAAAUACUCCUCCACUUCCAAACUACCCGUUGGACAGUAUCCCGGAGAAUCGUCUUCCAAUAUACCCAUUGGACAGCUCUGUAUCUAGAAGAUUUGGUAGCCGUUGAGUGACAAAUGUAGAAUCCCAAAUUGAUUCUGAUCGCCCAUACAAACGAAAUCUUGGUUUCCAUAAGUAAAGCUUCUUCGUAUAGAAAGAUCUUGUCUUCAAGAUCCAAUAGUCAAUCAAUUAGAUUGAAUCAAUCAAAUUAAUCUUGAUGUGGAAUCCAAACCAGAUCACUAGUCGUUAUAUGAUUGGGCUUGAAUUACGAUCUGUUGAAUCUGGAUGUAAAGUCUGAUAGCCAUAGACUUUACAAUCUAAGUUUGUAGACUUUACAAUCUGGGUCUGAACAUAUCUGCUUCUGAACAGAUUUAGCUUUAAGGUCUGUACCCAGUUCAGCUUCAGUAUAAAGUCUGUCUUCUGGUUCAUCAUUCACGUUCAGUCUGGAAUUAGUCAGAGUGAGCAGACUUCUGAUGUAGAACAGAAUUUGACACUAAAGUCUAGCAGUCUUCAGACUUUGAGUCUUGAGUCUGGCAGUCUUCAGACUUUGACACAGAAGUCUGGAAAUCUUCAGAAUAUACUUUGGACAUAUGUUACGUUCAGUCUUCUGGUCGUCUUCACACUUUGACAAUAUCCUUUACAUGUUCUAUCAUCUGCAUGGUCUAUUACUUAACCAUUAAACAUGUUAGUAGCCUUUAAUUUAUUUUGUCAUCUUCAAAACAUCAUAAGGGAUUUCCCUAACAGACAUCAUUGGCAGUCAUUAGCGGCUAGGGUUAGCAGUGGGCAGCAACAGUCGGUAGUGGUGAUCAUCGGCGGCAGCAAUCAAUCGGCCAAUCAAUGGGCAACGGCCUCAAUGGUCAUUGGCAGUGCAAUUGGUCGGCGAGCAGUGAAUGACGGUCAAUCCAUGGUGGUAGGUGGUAGCUAGUGGCAAUCAGUUGAUGGUCGGCCAGUAGCAGGCAAUAGGCAACAAUGGUCGAAUGGUAAGUGGCUAAGUGGCCGACGAUAGGUGGUUGGCCGAUGGCUAGUGGCAAUUAACCAAUGGUCAAUGGAGGCAGUUGGCCUACGACAGCGAGAGGCUGAUGAAGGUCGGCGGUCGGCCAGCAACAGGCAUUAAGUGAUAGCAGUCAAAUGGCGAGCAGUGAAGCAAUGAGCGGUAGGCGAUCAUUAGGUGAUUGGUUGGUGGUCAGUGGAGGCAGUCGGCCGACAACCAUGGCGAAACAGCAGGGGCAGCGGCAAGGGGCAAGGGGCAACAAGGAAGAAGAAAAAAAAAUUAUAUCUAUAAAUUGUUCUUGGUAAUAAGAUGCUAUCUUUUUACAUCUUAUUUAUAUUCAAACCUAUUCAUUGGUCACUACUAUGAGGAAUAGAAAAAUUAAUUGAUAUUACCAAACGAAUUUUUAUUCUUUUUUUUUGUUUCAGAAAACAAAAGAACAAAAUUAAGAAAAAUAAAAAACGUUACUUAACGAGGUCUUUUUGUGCCCAAUAAAGGAAAUUUUUGUCAGUUUUUUUUUUGGUCGAUUUGUCAGGUUCUAUUCAAUCACAAUGAUUCCGUGCAGUGCGAAAAUUGCUUUUGGUCCACUGUUCAAGGAAAUCGAAUUUUGUCCUCUGUCAAAUUUGCAGCUGAAGAGUGAACAGGCUUUAUCUCUUCUCAUCCGUCUCGUCCGUCGGCGUGUCACUUCUCUCUGCGGGCUUAGAAAAAGCCCACAUCAGACCCCAAGAUUGUACUAGCUGCUCCCUGAAAGGCACCAAUUCCCGCGGCUUCUUAUAUAUUUGUUCAGUUUUUUUGGGGUUGACAAAUUGAACUCUCUCCAUAUUUGAGAUUGUUCACUUGUCCAGCUUCGAACUUCAGAAUAUUGCUCGGAGGCUAGCGAAGGACAGUUUCCCCUUUAACCUCUGGUUUUCACAGAGAAAUCACGAGAUUCACACUGGUGCAACUCACAUAAAAUCCAUAUAAAGCAUGAGAAUUGGAUGCACAAAAUGCAAAUGUAUCUGUCAUACCUGAUUUCUCCCCCUUUCAAAGUCGCGGAGGAGGUGGCCUACAUAGUGAAACAUUAGGUCGACACAUGAAAACUGAAUUCGAUAAGAGCGAGUCACCACGGGUGAACAAUCCGUUCUAAUAGAAUUGGAUGCACCAAUUACAGGAACAGGAUUGAUGGGCUGGUCGGGCCUUCAGGAUGUACCGGCCCAAAAGUUUUAGGAUCUGGCUUCGGAGAAAUGGUUGAGCCUAUCAAACGCACUACCACUAGCCCCCAUUGAUAAUGACAGCCAGACAUUUCAAAGCAUCAUGCCCCCUUUUUUAAACAGCGGACGUAAUCUACUUUCUCGUUCUAAUCAAAGGCAUCACAUUUAGAGGCGCCGAGAGAUUUUUCCAGGAGCAUUUUCCUUGGUGGUCUCGCUUGAAGUAGAUUAGGUAUUAGGUAAGGCCAAGAAUCGAAUUUGAGACUUCAUACUUCUCAAUCACUGGCCGCCUUGUAAACUUCUUGAAGCAAUACACUGAAAUCCUCAUUGCGUAGGCCUACUUGAGUUUAUGGCAUUUGGAUCAUCCGGAUAUAUACUCGAUUAAAAGGGGGUUCAUACGCUAUUCCCCUAGAAAGAAAAUACAAAUCAGUAUAUACACUUUCAACUAUUAAAUCCUCCUAAAUAGAAGUUGCCAAUAGUUUUAAGGAUCAGAACGUAAUUUGAUUGAAUCUCAAAAUCCUUUUGAUUUCUUUGGUAUGAAAGCACCUUAUAUACCAAAAAAAAAAAAAAAAAAAAAAUUGACAUUCAAGUCAUGUAGAAAGUAGGGCUGAGCAUGAUUUGGGUGAGUGGUUCCCAUCUUGGAAUCAGGCCGCCCACUAAGGAUUGAUUUCAAAAAAUUGGAACCAAGACCUGCCUAUUGAUUUGUGGAUCCACCUAGGAAUCAAACUGCCGAUUUGGUCCAAUCCUCUAGUGUGUCCAUGGAGUUGGUCCCCAAUCCCUACAAAGCUUGUUUGGCCUUAUACUCAGAUUGAAUUGCAAGCUAUUGAUUUUGAUUAAAGAUUGAAAACUAUAGGGUGGGACAAAUAGACAAUACUUAUUAACUAAAAACUUAAAUUUUUCGAAGGUCACAAUUUUGUUUUCUUAAGAUUUCUCGACAUCGAAAACAUGUAGAGAAUUAGACUCCAAAUUAAAAGUCUUAACCUCCGGAAGAUAAAAUAUUAAUCACUUACUUCAUCUUUUUUCAAUGUCAACUUAGUUUAAUUAUGUGAUUGGCUAAGGAGAGACUUAAUUAUAAUCUUAAAAUGAGCUGUUGGCUCUUGUAGACAUCUCCGAUUGGUUCUCUUCUUCUUCUACGUUUGUUUGUUUGUUUGUUUUUGUUUUUGAGAAAGUAAGUAAAUGGAUUAUUAGAAUGGAAAAAAAGUAGGAGGGUUAAUCUUAUUACACUCCCAAGAAAUAAAAUUAAUUUAUAAGGUCAAAUAACUAUAAAUAUACACAUAUAUACAUAUAUAUAUUUAGUCAAAAAACUACAAAAUAAUCAAGUAAUUAAGAUGGAUUUUUUUCUUUAAAUUUAUAUAUAUACAUAUAUAUACCGUUUCGGUUCGGAUAGGUGAGCGGAUGGUUCCACACCUAGAAUUAAGAACUCGAUUAGUACUCAUCAAUUCCACUAAAUUGGAACCAGGAACCAGACUGGCUUUCUUGAGAACUACUAGUUCUAGUCCGGUCCGGUCCGGUCUAUUUUCAAGAGGUCUAGAUGACUUUCGGUUCUUUUGUACACUCUUAGUAGAAAGCAUCCAUUUGACUGAACAUGCACAAGUUGAAUGGGUUCUUUUUUAAUAUUUCCCCCCGUGUUGUGCUCAUAUAUUCAAAGCUCUGCAUCCCACUCUUUUCAAAGGACGGAGAUGUUCACACAACCACCUUUUUGAACGAUCGGCGAUGGUGCACGACCGGACAAAAACUAAUCAACGUUAAUUUCUUAAUUUUCUAACAUGAAUCCCGAUCAGAAAGCCAGAUCCCGACUGCCCGCUAUGACUCCAAUAUGGUCGUUGAAGUGGAGAUAAAGCGUCAAACACGACGAUAUCACUUCAUUGACGACGUGACAUCUCAACAAGUGAGAGUCAUAAGUGGGCUUGUCGCUUACAUCACGACAUUCUCGACAAUUAUUGUUAAUUUAGUAUUCAUAUGUGUCACUUUAUGUCAAGAAUAAGUAUUUCACAAAAAAAUUUAAAAAAGAAGAAGAAGAAGUCAAUAAAAGUAGUGAUGAAUGUACCUCUGAUUGGUUAUUUACCAAAAAAAAAAAAUGUUCCUGAUUGGUUAAUAAUGAAAGCCCACAACACACGAUUCAAUGAUGGUUGCCAAUCUUCUUCGAGGUUGCUUCCUUACAUUUUCCAAACUUUCGUUUUUUCCAAUCAAAGCAAGGGACACGGCAAAAGCCCACUAAAUCUACUCAAAAAUCAAAAAAGUAAAAGUCUCUGGUCAAGGUUCAAGUUCAACACUGGAGAGCUGCACGUGUUGACGUACUCCAUUUUCAGAAAAUGGUAUACCAUCACUAGAGUGAUGUUUCAAACAUCUUAAGAAUGCAAAUAGUAACAUUUUUGUUUAGAGAAAUAAUUUCUUUUAAAAAAUAGUUUUAUUUUAUUUCUAUUCUCUGAAAUAAUUUUUGAAUAAAAUAACAUGUUUGGUAAUUAUAUAAAAAUUUUAUUUUCGAAAUAGAAAAAGAAUAUGAAUACAUUUGAUACGAUCUAUAAAUUUUUAUAUUUUUUCAUUUUUUUUCUUGCUUGUCGACUGUCAAUUGGCGCCCCCCACCGCUCGAUUGUCGGUGGUUGACGGCUGGCAGUCACGGUUAGGCGUCGACGGUCUAAUGACAAUCAGUGGCGGAUCCAAGGGUAAUAGCCGUGGCAAGGGAGAAGAAAAAUGGAAAAGACAAAAAAUGGCUUAUUUCUUUAAAUUGUUCUCAAGAAGAAGUUUUUUUUUUCUAAUUCAUAUUUCUAUUCCAAAUCUAUUUUUUGUCACUUUUCUAUUUAGGGAAAUAGAAAAAUUAAUAGACGUUAUCAGAUGGAAUUUUGUUCUUUUUUUUUUUGUUCCGGGAAGCAAAAGAAUAAAAGAAUAAGGGAACGCAAAUGUUCCCAUGCAACCCCUAAGAGACUAUCGGCGCAUAACGUUCAUGUUUUUUUUUUUCAAAAUAAAAAUAGAAUAAAAUUCGAUCGUGUACAUUUUAUUCUUGGGAAUAUAGUUAAAAUACAAUCAAGAAGUAAGGAAAAAUUACUUCUUUAUUCUCAAGAACAGCUCAAUAAUGAAAUCCAAACUAUUUUUUUCUCUCUCCCUUUUUCUUUUCUUUCUUGUUCUCUUCCUCCUCUUCCUCCCCUAGUCGAUCGGCAACUAGCCAGAUGAGGUCACCCCAAGCCUCACCUAGCCGUCAUGAGAUUGAUGUAGCCUCCCCUAGCCAUGGCGAGACUUAACGUGACCUUGUUGACUCUCGUUUGGAAAGUUAAUAAUCGGCCAUAGCCAAGGCCAGCAACCAGCUAGAGAAAGGAUAAGAAAAGAAAAAGAAGAAGAAGAAGAAGAAGAGAAACAUAUAAUAAAAUUAUUAAAAAUUAAAAGAAAUUCUAAGUCAUGUCUAAGUCCUAUGAAUGGGAUUGUACUUCCCAAGCCCAAAAAAUUUAGAGGUGGUACUAGACACAUUUCUAUUUCAGAAAUAGAAAUUUUGUACAAUUAUUAAACGCAUUAUAUUGCUUAGAAACUUGUCUAGCGAACAAAAAUAAUAAAAAAAUCAUUUCCAAAUAAAAAUUAUUACCAGAAAUAGAAACGUUAUCAAAUCCACUCUAUAAUGGCCCCGCAUUAGUCCUGAAAUCACACUUCAUUUGCAGAUGAUGCGACUGUCAAAUUUAAUCAUGAUGCAAUCAUGACAUGGAUACUCGUGUUUUUUUUAAGGGACUCGGUACUAGUUUCCCAUGAUUUCUUCUCACUUAUCUUUAAGAAAUUUAGAUGUUGGAUAACGCUGCAAAAAUUCAACCGAACGAUACUUGCUAAACUUUGGAAUUUGUUCACAACCUCUCGUUGAUUUGACAGCUUACAUUGAAUGGUUAUCAUUCUUUAACUAUUCUUUCUUUUCUUUUGUUUUCUUUAAUUAUUUUGAAAUGAAAAAGGGUGGGCUGAUAUAGGUCUCAAAAAUCAUGAAUGUGAGGACUCAAAUAUGCGAUGUGUCACAGGUUGAUAAUUUCCUUGGUCAUGGAUUAACCCGUGCAAUGCUUGGCGAAUAGAAUUCACAAGACCAGCCUUUCUUCUAUAGUUGUUCCAAUAAACAAUACGGUGAAUAACUCUUUUCAUACAAGAUCGUACCACGCCCAGAUUGGCUCGGGCAUUUAGUCCAUCGAGCGAGACAACAACUCUUUUUAGGCUCAACAACUGGUUCGGCCUGCCAUGGCCUCAUUAGGAGAGCGGCAUCAGCUACCAACUAGUUUGUACACGGGAGGCUAACCCCCCCUUCAAAGCUCCUAAGUAAUAUCAUUUUUCUAUCCUAUAACUCCUAGCACCAACCGUCCAGACACCACUCCUAUGAACCAAUUGUGUUCAUCCUCUUUGUGCCCUCGCUCUUCACUUGAUAACCCAAAACUUCACUCCCAAGGGUUCACAGGUACGGGAGAAUCACGGAUCAUGUCAAACUCUCCCACCCAAUUCUGCAACACCCUCGUUGCGAGCUGUUAUCGCUUCAUUGUAUUUCCCUAACCAUUAGUGCCACUUCUUAGGACUUACAUAGAUGGCAAUGCUCUCCCAACAAAACAAGUCACACCACUCCAUUGCUUGCUUCCCCCGAUCAAAGCUGUUUGCGAAUCUCCAGUCACUUGUACUCUCUAACAAGUGUGGCACUCCUAGCCAACUGCACCUUAUGGAAGCACCUUCUUUCUCAUACUAAGCUCCUCCUAAUCUUUGCAAGCCAACAGAGGAUCCUCCUUGGUGGAAAUAUGAUCGAAGACAUCUUCUUAAGAUUCACUCAUUGAUCCAAGAAUGUUAUCCCCAUUCAGCGAGCAAUUCGGUUUCUUCCUAUGCCCCCAUUGCCAUCCCAGAAGCUAGAUGAGAUCCGCACGUUGUUCGAGCCCCUUUGGCCCUGGUAAUCACUUUCCACCUUCAUAGGACUAGAAAGACCACAGGCUUUUCCCUGAAUCACCCACCUAAUGGAGGGAUCGCCGCUCUAAUACCAUUUGUCAUGGGUCGAUAAUUUCCUUAGCCACAAAUUAACCCAUGCGGCGCUUGGUGAACGGAAUUCACCAAGCCAGCCUUCCUUCUAUAAUUAUUUCAAUGAACAAUACGGCAAAUAGCUCUUUUCAUAUGAGAUUAUACCACGUCCAGCUUGGCUUGGGCAUUUAGUCCACCGAGCGAGACAAUAGCCCUCUUUAGGCUCAACAAUUGGUUUUAGCCUAUCAUGGCCUCAUCAGGAGAGCGGCAUCAGCUCCCAACCAGUUUGUGCAUGAGAGGACAACCCCGCCUUCAAAACUCCUAAGUAAUAUUAUCUUUCUAUCCCAGAACUCUUAACACCAACCAUCUUGACGUCACUCCCAUAGACCAGUUGUGUUCAUCCUCUUUGCGCCCUCGCUCUUCACUUGAUAACCCCAAACUUCACUCUCAAGAGUUCACAGGUACAGGAGAAUCACAGACUGUGUCAAACUCCCCCACCCAAUUCCACAACACCCUUGUUGCGGGCUAUUAUGUCGCUUCCCUGCGUUUUCCUAGCCAUUAAUGCCACUUCCUAGGACUUACAUAGAUGGUAACGCUCGCCCAACAGAACAAGUCACACCACUCCAUUGCUUGCUUCCCCUGAUUAAAGUUGUUUGCGAAUCUCCAAUCACUUGUACUUCCUGACAAGUGUGGCACCCCUUGCCAACUACACCCCUAUGGCAGCAUCUUCUUUCGCCCACUAAGCUCCUCUUGAUCUCUGCAAGCCAGUAGAGGGUCCCCUUUGGUGAAAUAUGACCACAGACCUCUUCUUAAGAUUCGUCCAUUGAUCCAAGAAUGUUAUCCCCAUUCAACGAGCAAUUCGAUUCCUUCCUAUGCCCCCAUUGCCAUCCUAAAAGCUAGAUGAGAGCCGCACAUUGUUCGAGCCCCUUUGGCAUCGGCGAUCACUCUCUGCCCUCAUAAGACUGGGAAGACCACAUGCUUUUCCCAAAUGUCACGCCCUGAACCCCAAGCAUGCGCACAUCCCUCGGUGGUCGACUAAAAAUGCAACGUCCCAAGACGCGUCACAGGCCUAUUCAUUUUAUGCAUAUGUGGCAGCGAAAUGAUAAACCCCAUACAAUCAUCAAAUAAAGGAUAGUAAAAGCGGGAUAGCUAAUAAACACAAACCACACUUUAUAAACAAACUGAGGUUAGCCCUACAAGUCUAUAUACAGAAGUCUAUCCCAAAAGAAAACUAUUUGGCCCUCUACACUCUGGACCUUUCCUCCUCAAGUUCCAGAUCCUCUAUGACACCAACUAGGAUGUCGAUGUCAAAAGGAUCAGCUACCUCUGCCCUGGGCCCUUCAGCCUCAGGCCUUGAGUUCUCCAAGAUGUCAUUCAAAAUAUUGAUGUCCAUGGGGGUGAAGUACCUCCUCAACUUCAGUUUUGACAGGCCUAUUGUCAAAACCCUCCAAAGGACCCUCUCGGGCCCCAUUAGGCUUGUUAAGGAAUCACGCUUUGAAGCGAUGAGGUACCAAGUGAGUUAGGCUCUCAUCAACCUAAAUAGUGGUCACCACGAGCUCAUGGGUCCAGGUGGUCUGAGUGAAAAGGCUAGUGGCAACACCUAGAGGGGGGGUGAAUAGGUGCGAUGAAAAAUUUUCACAAGAUUCAGUAGAAGUUAUUUGCUUUUUGAAGAUAAUAAACUAUGAACAAGUUUAACUUUAAACUGUUAGAUAUUCAAAUAAAGGAGUUUAAGCUUAAACAAUUAACUAGAGCUACGAAUCAAAAUAAAAGAGUUUACAAAAGAGAAUAAGAACAUAAAGUUUAUAGUGGUUCGGCUUAGAUCAAACCUACGUCCACUCUCCCACACUAACAGCCCACUGGUGGAUUUCACUAAGAAUCAAAAGAGAUUUACAACUUGUGAUCUCGAUUUCUUAGUGAAGAGUCUCUAUUAGUCUCUCACAGAGUCUCAUUAUGAGUAUCUCUCUUUUGUGUAUAUAACUUGAGCACAGUGAAUGAAAUAACAAGGAACUAGGAAGCUUUAAACUUUGAAAUUUUUCUUUCACACACACUUUCGAACAACUAGAGAGUCCGCCUUAAAUACUCCUUCAUACAUUCACGACCGUUGGCUCUUUUCAAAUGAAUUCUUUCAAUCUACCCGUUGGACAGAAUUAAUCAAUGUGAUCUCAAGUUGUUAGAUGAUUGUGAUGAAAGCUCGUCAAUCAUGUUCGCCCAUACAAUCAGGAUUUUGGUUUCUAUAAGUAGAACAUUCCAAGUUUGCUUGCCUUCCAAAAGAUUUGAACAUCGGAAUUGAUUCCAAUAAAGAUAAUCAAUCAUGUAGGUGUUAUAUUCAGCCAUAAGGUAAUCCAUAAACCAUACGAAUCGAAUGCUUGAAUAUAAUUUCGCAUUUGGAUAAGUCUUCAUUCUUCAAUCUGGAAACUGUCAGUGUGGGCAGACUUUGAAUAUAAAGUCUGGCGGUCUUCAGACUUUGAUGCUAGAGUCUGGAAGUCUUUAGACUAUACUUUUGGAUAUGUUUUGUCAAUUUCAAAAUAGUAAAGGAGUUUUCUCCAACAAUCUCUCUCUUUUUUAUGGUGACAAAACUUUCCUGCAAAUUUGAGAACUUUUGACCUGCAAAACAGCUUUUAAGCAAUACAUGAUAUUUUAUAAAAAUAAGUUGAUUAGGACUUAGGUAACAUUUAUUCUCCAACCACAGAAAACAUGUUAAUCCUAAAAAGAUAAGACAAAUAACUAUCCACCCAUAAUCAAUAUUACCAAAGUAAGUUGCUGCAAGCGUCAAAAAGUUCAACAAAGAUUCACAGUCAAACAUCAAUCAAACAAAAGUCCAAAGUUCAAACCAAUAAAAACCAAAAGUACCAAACAACAAAGUACCAAUCAUCAAAAAAGAUAAAUUUGCACACACUCUCCCUCUUUUUAUCAACAGCAAAAAAUGGAGAAGUAUAACAAAGAGUUGAAUAAAAUUAGGGCUGUUUGGGGAUGCGAAUGAGCUGGAAAUAGUCUCCUUCAACUUCUUAAUAUCCUUACCCUUUGCAGUCUCUUGAACUUGAAACUUAAGGGCUUGUACUUGUUCAUGCAUAGAAUCUGAAGUAGAUUUGAGAGCUUUGUAGAGGUUCUUGAUCUCAAACUCCAUCCUGUAUUGCUGAGCUUUCAACUCUAAAAGGAUUUCUAACAGCCUUUAGAAGUCUGUUGUUCAUUAUGUUGGUGCACUAGGUCUAGCCAAGUUGAUUUCAGGAGUUGUGAAAUUUGAGGGAACAUCAGCAGUUCGAUCACCAAGACUUUGAGAGGAUGCCUCAACAUCAGUUUCAAGAAAUUGAGAGGCAUAGACUUCCUCUAGAUCUGCUGGAGAUUUGUUCACAUCACUAGUAAAAACAAGUGAAGAAGAAGUACCUAUGUUUUUAGCGGCUCCCCCUGUCUUUAUGGUUAUAGGUGGAGAAGAAAAAUCUUCUUCUUGUUCUUCAACUUCAGCAAUCGAGUGAUGGUCUUUCUCUCUUGCAUCUCCUUCAGGUCCACUCCGAGUCUUCUCAGUAUCUUCUGACAAUGAUACUGCAAAAGUUGGCUCAACAGAGUCAUCUUGACCCUCUUCCUCUUCUUCUUCUCUCUCUUCUUCUUCUCUCCCUUCUUCUUCUCUUUCUUCUCUUCUUUCUCUUUCUCUUUCCUCUGCUAUUCUUUCUUCACUUCCUUCUCUUCUGUCUUUUCUUCCUUCACUUCUCUACUUUGUCUCUUCUCUUCCUCUAUUCUCUCUAUCCUCUAGCUGCUCAAAACUAACAAAAUUCCUUAGAUUUCUUAAGGCAAAAGCGGAGAGACUGAGAUCAUCCUCAUCUUCUUCAUUCUACAAGAUAAGGGCUCUCCUAUUCUUGAUAGGUGCACUCAUUGACUCUUUGCCUUUCCUCUUCUUCGCGGCAGAGUCUUGUUUUGCUUUGGUUGGGGACUUCUCCUUCAAGUGCUCCAAGGCUUUAUUCAACUCCUUCAGUCUCAUCUUCGAAAGCAUCUUCAAUCCUAUCACCAUAGGAGCAAUGGUUCUGACACAGAGAGAUGUUGGAAACUGAAUGUGAAAGUGUCGAAAUAAUUUGGUGACCAGUGGUAAAUAAGGGAGUUGUCCCUUGUCUUUCACAACAGUUCUGUACAUGUGCAUCGGGAUUGUGUGUGGCAGUGAGAGCUUCAUCCCAAUACUGAUUGCGAACAUCAGUUUUGCUUCGGAACAAGAGACAUCUGUCUUGGAGGUUGACUUGGGUCGGAUGCAGUUGAUCAUAACCUUGUGUAGCAAAAUAUUGGAGGUAGUUAUUCUGGAAUAGAAAAUCCCGCCUUCAGCAAUUCUGUCCCGAACAAGAAACAUUGUUGCAUGACCAAUAGACACAUUUAUUGGUUGAAAACUCUCUCUUUUCACACCAAUAACAUUCGCCAAUGUGUCCACAUCCACCACAAACUCUUUGUCCCUUACAGUAAAACGAAAUCUAUUCGCGUCUAGAAAAGACAAAUUCGAAUAUAAAUAAGCAGUUAAUUCAAGAUAAGCGACAGAAGUUUCGGAGCAAAAUCGUUCAAGUUGAAGGAGAGCAAACUUCUCCCUUAGGUUCACCUUUAAAGAAUCAAGGAGAUCAAAAUCUACAAUUCGAGGGUUGAUCACCCCUCUCUUCAGCAAUUCCGGAUAAGUCUUUCAGUGGUCCUUAGAAUGAAAUAAACUCGUUCCCUCACCACGCACAUUUGCAGCAAUGCCCAUCCUAGGCUGAAAAUUCGCAUACAUAUUCUCAUCAUCAUCAUCUUCACCUCAGGCUGAUUAAAAGAACUAAACAGCAGAUCACUUGGAAAGUUAGUAAAAGUUAUGUCUGCCAAACCUUCAAGCGUAAUGCCUAACCUUUCCAUUGAUUGUAAAAACAUGGUCUCGUUCUUGUAACCUUUCUCUUGUAGAAACGCAUCAAUAAAUGUCAUCGCAGUACCACCCUCCUUUAACUGAGUGUAGAGUUUAAAGAGAAUUUGAGAUUUUAAAGUUCUUACGGGUUCAACAUCUUCCAUGAUCUCUUCUUCUAUUUGUUGGCGUGGAGGAUCUUGAGUUGCACACUAUGAAGAAUGACGUUGUUAAGAAUGUUGUUGUUGCUGCUGAGGAGAAUCUUCUUCCUCGGCUAAGUCAAAGUGAGUAGGAUUCUAUGGCAUGUGUUGUGGUCCACUAUUAGCGAUCUAAGAAGAUUUCCUAUGGAAAGACAUCUUUGCAGUUGAGGAGGAUUUCUCAAACUCGUUCGUUUGAAAAAGGUGAAAACUUGUAGAGUAAUCUUGAGAGAAAAAGUGAGAGAGUAGGAAUUCUGUAUUUUAGGGUUUAUGAAACCUAAAUGGAGAAGAAGAAUUUUGAUGGUAUAUAAAGCAAGUGAAAUGGGGUAUACAAAUCGUCACAAAAGAAAAUAAACUGUCUUUUUCAAAAAUAAAAACUGCCAAAAAUUCAAAAAUUCAAAAAAGAUAACUUCUAAAAAUAAAAUAGACAAGUAACGAUUCAAAAAUCAAUGUACAUUUUCAGAAUUUUCGUGCUAAAAUUAAAUUACCUGCAUUGUAGAGAAAAUAACUUAUAGAUAUAGUUUCUGGACAUUCUGAGUCUAACCACCUUUAGACUUUAACCAGUAGAAGAUAUGAUAUUCAGUCUGGUGCGUAUAUACUCAAAUAAAAUUUUCUCCAGUGGCUUUGUAAAUACGUCUGUCAACUGAUUUUUCGAGUCAAUAAACUAAAUCAUAACUUCUCUAUUUUGAACAUGAUCUCUUACGAAAUGUUGUCGAAUCUCUAUAUGUUUUUCCCUUGAAUGAAGAAUUGGGUUCUUUGUAAGAUUGAUGGCACUGGUGUUGUCGCAUUUGAUCUCAGUGCACGAUUCUUCAAUUCCAAAGUCUCUUAGCUGUUGUCUUAUCCACAAAAUUUGGGAACAGCAACUUCCAAAAGCCACAUAUUCUGCUUCAGUUAUUGAAAGAGCUAUAAUACUCUGCUUCCUUGAGAACCAAGACACGAGCUUGUUGCCCAUUAGUUGACAAGUACUAGAAGAACUUUUUCUGUCAACUUUACAACCUGCUAAAUCUGCAUCUAAAUAUCCAAAGAGAGUAAAGUCUCAUUCUUUGGGAUACCACAGACCUAGCUUUGGAGUAGUUACAACAUAUUUGAUGAUGCAUUUUGCAGCACUUAAGUGAGAUUCUUUGGAGUUUGAUUGGAAUCUAGCACAAAUACAAACAAUAAACAAAAUGUCAGGUCUAGAUACAAUAAGGUAAAGAAGUAAACCAAUAAUGCUCUUAUAAAACUUCUGGUCUACUUUCUUUCCUCCUUCAUCUUUGUCUAGCUUCGAAGUACUUGACAUUGGUGUCUCUGUCUUUUUGUAGUUCUCCAAUCCAAAUUUCUUGAUGAGAUCAUUCGUAUGCUUUUCUUGGUGAAUAAAAAUACCUUUCUUUGAUUGUUUAACUUGUAAUCCUAGAAAAAAAGUUUACUCACCUAUCAUACUCAUCUCGAAUUCAUCCCGCAUACAUCUAGAGAAUUUCUUGCAUAGAUUUUCAUUAAGUGAUCCAAAAAUAAUAUCAUCAACAUAGAUUUGAACCAAUAGAAAAUCAUUACCCUCUCUUUUUAUGAACAAAGUAGUAUCUAUCUUUCCUUUAACAAAACUAUUUUGGAUUAAGAAUUUACUUAACCUCUCAUACCAAGCUCGAGGUGUUUGCUUCAAUCCAUAUAAGGCUUUUUUCAAUCUGUAGAUUGAGUCUGGUUUUCUUGGAUCUUCAAAUCCAGGUGGUUGUUCUAUAUAGACUUCUUCUUGGAUAAAUCCAUAUGGAAAACUUAAAAAUUUUAUAGCAAGUAAAAGUAAGUAAUAAUCUAAUUGCUUCUAAUCUCGCUACUGGUGCAUAUGUCUCAUCAUAGUAUAUUCCUUCUUCUUGCACAUAUCCUUUGGCCACGAGUCUUACUUUGUUCUUGACCACUUUUCAUUUUUCGUUUAUCUUGUUUCUGAAAACCCAUUUAAUUCCAAUAAUAGACUUACCUUUAGGUUUAGGAAUUAGUUUCCAAACAUCGUUGAUGUUAAACUGUCUGAGCUCUUCUUGCAUAGUUUCAAUCUAGCUUUCAUCAGCCAAGGCUUCUUGUAUACUUUUGGGUUCAAUCUCAAAAACAAGUGCCAAGGCACUAGACUCUUCUCGCCUUUUUGAUCUUGUGCGAACUCCUUCAUCAAUAUUAUCAAUAAUGAGUUUUUUGGGAUGACUUGACUUAUGCUUCUAGUUGCUGGUUGGUUUGAGAGUCUACUAAUCUUCUGCUUUAGUUGAAUCCUCUAGUUCUGCUUGAAAUUGAUCUUCAGAAGUCUGAACCACUUCGGGGGAGGUAGAAUUUUUAAGGUCUGGAGCAGGUUCAGAUUCUUCGAGUUGAGUUUGGUCUAGUUGAUUUUGUAUAGAGUCUUGAAACUUGACGUUCAUAGAUUCUUUCACAAAUUGAGUCUUCUUGUUGAAUACUCUGUAUGCUUUGCUUGCGGUUGAGUAACCAAGGAAAAUUUCUUCGUGUGAUUUUUCUUCAAACUUCCCAGUUCGAUCAUUUAUAUUUUUCAAAACAUAACACUUACAGCCAAACACAUGAAAAUAAGAAACAUUUGACUUCUUUCUUUUAUACACUUCAUAAGGAGUUUUCUCUAAAAUAGGUCUCAAGAACACUCUAUUAAUGAUAUAGCAAGCUGUAGAAACUACUUUAGCCCAAAAUCGAGAGGAAAUUUUACUCUCAAUUAAAACGGUUCUUACCCUCUUCUGUAAUGAUCUAUUCUUCUUUUCUACAAUCCCAUUUUGUUCUGGAGUAUAUGGAGAAGAGAAAACAUGCUGGAAACCAAAUUCAUCACAGAACUUCGCAAAGUCUUGAUUUUCGAACUCACCUUCAUGGUCUGUUUGUAUGUUUGAAAUAGCAUAUCCUUUCUCAUUCUGAACAUUCUUGGAAAACUUUGAAAAGUGAGAGAAGGCUUUAGACUUAUUUGCCAGAAAGUAUACCCAAGUAACGCGAGAGUAAUCAUUCACGAUUACUAGGCAGUAUCUCUUUCCACCAAUGCUUUGAGUUCUAGUUGGUCUAAAGAUGUCCAUAUGCAGAAGUUACAAAACUCGAUUAGUAGAAACUUGAUUUAUAGAUUUAAAAGAACUUCUAACCUGUUUUCCCAAAACACAUGGCGUGCAUAAUUCGGACUUUUGAUAAUCCAUGUUGGAAAGACCACAAACAAACUUCUUGGAAGAAAUCUUGGCAAUCAGCUUCAUGUUAACAUGGCCAAGCUUUCGAUGCUAAAGAUUUACUUCAUCUUGAAUGGAUAUUAGACACUGAGAGUUUUGGUUUUAUAUCCAAAAGGUAAAUAUUCUCAUGUAUUCAUCUAGUGAAAGAUUGAGAGAAGUCUUUACUUGAACCUGAACAGAUGCCUUCUUGGAAUUUAAUUUUGAAUCUAGUAUUGCAAAGUUGACUAAUGCUGAAUAAAUUGUAAUUCAAACCUUCCACCAAGGAGACAUUGUUGAUAGUGAGACUUCCAAUCUUCACAGUUCUACAUCCAACAAUUCUUCCUUUACUGUUUCCUCCAAAAGAAACUUUUCCACCAUUUAUUUGAACAAGCUUAAUAAAACAGCUCGAAUCUCCUGUCAUGUGUCUCAAACAGCCGCUAUCCAAAUACCAUUUGAUCUUCUUAAUAGUGACCUGUAAUCAUGAACAGAACUCAAGUCUUCUUUAGUACCCAUAUUUUCUUGGGUUUAGGAGAGUUAGUAUUGAAAACAGUCUUUACCGAAUCCCUCUUAACGGGUCUCAAAAUCUUGAGACAUUCAUUCUCAAAAUGUUUUGAGCUGUUACACUUUGAAUAUUUGAGAGCACUUCGGCCAAUAGGUUUUAUAAAAACUUUUUGAAAAUGAUUUUUGUAAAAUGUUUUUGUAGGUCUUUAUUUGAUUAUUUCAUUCACUUUGGGAAAAUCAAUUAAUGGAAUAGUUUUUGGAGUCAUACCCAAACCGGAUUUAUUAAAAUAAGGUCUUUGUACAUAAAGAAUUUUCUCCAACUUCUCAGAUUCUUUUGAAAAUCUCUUUGUGAUAUUUGAAAUAUCUUCUUUCAAAAAGACAUUUUCCUUCAAAAGAGAAUCUGCAUUUUCUUUCAAAUCAACAAAACUUUUAUCCAGAUUUUCAUAUUUUUCUUUCUAAAAAGUUUCAUGUUGCUUCAGUUUAGAAUUCUCCCUCUUUAGCUCGGAAAUCCUUUUAAGAGAUGUUUUGAAACUAAGACAUAGUUCAUCUAUAUACUUUGAUACUUUAAUAGGAAUUUUUGAAUUGCUAACCUCAAUUUCUUUAUCUAAGUCUGAAUCUAAAUCUAUUUUAGAGUUUACAUCUGAAUUUGACAUUAGACAUAUGUUGGCAUAUUCUUCAUCACUUUCCUCGCAUUCCGUAUCGCUCCAUGUCUCUGCUUUGAGAGCCUUUUUAUAUUUCUAUGUUAUUUCUUUCCUUUUCUUCAAUAGAAGAUAGUUGGGUCUAAUGUGCCACUUUUUCUUGUAUUCGAAGCAUAUCACAUAUUUGUUGGUUUCAUCGUCCUUAGUUGGUUUCUUCUGGAAUUUUUUAUUGCUCUACUUUUUUCCAGUUAAAUCUUCUUCCCUUCCUAUUCAACUUUUUGAACUUUCUAAUCAUGAGUGCUAGCUCUUCAUCGUCUAUAUGAUCUUUUGAAUCCAUAUCAUUAGAAUCAUCAUUAUAUUUUAAAGCAAUUGACUUCUUACCUUUGUGAUCUUCUUCUUCAUUGAUUUGUUCAACUUCAUAUAAUUAAAGUGUGCCAACUAGUUCAUCUACUAAAAGAGGCAUAAUCCUAUGAGUUUCUUUAAUUGAUGUCUUCACAUGAUUCUAGUCUUUGGAGAGUCCACACAGCAGUUUAUUGACCUUCAUUGGUCUUGAGAUUAGUUGUCCUCGAUAUGUUAGGCCAUUUACAAUCUCUGUGAAACAACUGAACAUGUCAAUGAUGGAUUCUCUAGGCUUCAUCUUGAAAGCUUCAUAUUGUCCGAGUAGAAUAUUGAUUUUAGUUUCCUUUACUCGAUCAGUUCCUUCAUAUGUGACAUGCAAUCUGUCCCAAACUUCUUUUGCUGUUUCACAAGAAGAAAUUCAGUUAUACUUAGUAGGAGAUAAAGCACGGUAUAAGGAGUAUAUGGCUUUAUCAUCAAGAGCUUGUCUCUUGGUUAUUUCUACUUGUGUCAAUUCACCAGCAUUUGCAACUUCCUUUCCUCUUUCUAAGGUUGAUGUAGUUUUGGGAAUGAUCCAUUUCUCUACCACAUCCCAUUCCAGGAGAUCUUUCGACUUUAGGAAUGUAUUUAUCUUGUUUUUCCACACAUUGUAUUCCUUCCCAUCAAAGUAAGGAGGCCUGAUGUUGCUUUGGCUUUCAACCAAACCUAGAGCUAAAAUACUAGCCAUAUAUCUUUAGCUUAAGAAGUAAAGACACUUCAAUAAAUAAGUAUACAAGCUCUGAUACCAAUUGAAAGGGCUAGUGACAACACCUAGAGGGGGGUGAAUAGUAUGAAAGCUAGUACAAGCACCUAGAGGGGGUGAAUAGGUGCAAAAACAAAUUUUCCAAAGUGAAGUGAUCGACUUUGAUCAGCAAUAGAUUAUGAAAAGGAAAUUAGACUCUUGUAAUCAAAUUGAAUUACGAUCAAAGUAAAAGAGCUUAGGGAAGAGAAUAAAAACACAGUGUUUAUAGUGGUUUAGCUUAGUCCAAGCCUACGUCCACUCUUCCGCAUUGACAGCCCACCGGCUGGAUUUCAUUAUGAAUCAAAAGAGUUGUUACAAUAUAGCUCUUUCUUGAUUCCACAGUGUAGAGACUCUGCUAUAAUUCCUCAAGGUCUCACAAAGAUAUAAACUCUCUUUUGAGUACAAGAUUUCGCUCAACAAUUGAAUUGACUAAGAACAAGGAGUUUCAGACUUUGGAAUUCUUCUAUCGCGCACACACUCGAAUAACUGGAAUGUCUUUCUUAUAUACUCCUUCAUGUCAUCACACCCGUUAGCACUUACCAAAGGAGUUCUUCCAAUCUACCCGUUGAAUAGAAUCAAUUAUAAAGAUUUUGAGUUAUUUAAGGAAUAUGUCGAUAGUCCACCAAUCAUGCUCGCCCAUACAAUCAGGAUCUAAGUUUCCAUAAGUAGAAUCUUCCAAGUAUACUUUGCCAAUCAAUAAAUCCAAAAUCCCUGAAUCAAUCUCAAUUUGAAUAAUGGAUUCCGACAUGCUAUAUUCAGCUAAGAGAUCUUCUUCAGUCGAUAGAAUCAAAUCCUUAAUGAAAUACUCAGUUCUGGAUAAGCCUUAUUCGACGGUCUAGAAACUGUCAAUGAGGAUAGAUUUUGAGUCUUGAGUCUGGCAGUCCGAAGGUCUUCAGACUUUGAUGGAAGAGUCUGCAAGUCUUCAGACUAGACUGAUGGAAACGUUUUGUCAACUUCAAAACACUCAAGAAAGAUUUCUCCAACAAUCUCCCACUUUUUGAUGGUGACAAAACUUUCCUGCAAAUUUGAAUAACUUUGACCUGCAAAACAAUACUCAAGCAAAACAUGGAUAUCUCACAAAAGAUAAUUGGCUUAGUAAAGAUAACAUUAAAAUCUGCAUCCAUAGAAAAUAAGUUAGUCUUGUAAAAGAGCAACUAUCUUUGCCAUGAAAUACCAGUAGUGCUUAAAAUAAACAAACGAUCAAAUAAUCCAAAUCCAAAUCCAGUCACAGCCAAAUAACCAAACACAAAAGUAGAAUCGGUCAAACACAAAAGUCAAGAGUUUAAAUCUCAAAUCUGCACCACAUCUCUCCCCCUUUUUGUCAGCAUUAAAAAGGUAAAGAUGAAAAGAGAAUGGAAUUAGGAUUGCUUUGGAACACGAACAAGCUGGAAAUCUCCCAUUGACUGGACAAUCUCUUCCAGCUUUUUGAAAUCCUCCUUCAGUUGAGCCACAUCUUCUCCCUUGGCAUUUACUUGAACUUGAAGAGCAAGAGCAUGGAUUUGAUCAUGCAAAGAAACUGAAGAGGCUUGACUUGCAUUCUACAAGUUCUGAACUUCGCAUCCUAGAGCAUAAAUUUGGCUCACAUCUCCGUAAGAACAUCAAGCACUCUACAAAAAUCUGCUGAGUUAUCAGUAUGAGUACUAGCUUCUGCACAAUCAAAAGGUGUAUUGGCAGAUGAUGGCAAGUCAGCACGAUCACUCAGAUUGGGCAAUGAAACCUCAUGGCAUUCCUCAGGAAAUUGAGAGGCAUAGAUGUCUUCUGGAUUUGCUGGUGAACGACUUACUCCUUCACCAGUAGCAGUAAUUGAAGAUGCACCUCUUUUCUCAACAUCUCCCCAUGUUUCAAUGCCUUCAGGCUGUGAAAAGUACUCUUCAUGCUCUGCUUCUUCGGGUUCACCUCUGCCCUCUUCUUCUUCUUCUUCCCCAAUCCUUUCUUCCUCUGCUUCUUUCUCCAUUGAUUCUCUCUCUCCAGUCUUCUAUUUGAUCUCCUCCUUGUCUUGUUCCUAUCUCACCUCUGUCUCUGGAACAGAACAACUUAAAUUCUUCAAUGCAAGAGCAGAAAUUGUGAUAUUAUCCUCAUCAUCUUCAUCCUUCAAUAUGAGUGCUCUUCUUUUCUUGGAUGGAGCAACCAUGGGCUCCUUCCCUUUCUGUUUUGCAGCCGAAGAGACUGGGUGAGUCUUGACAAGGGUUUUAUCCUUGAAUCGCUCCAAAGCCUCAUUAAGUUCCUUCAAACGCAUUUUAGAGACCAUUUUCAGUCCCACCACCAUUUGAUCGCAUUUUUGAAGACAAAGAAUUCUGAGAGGCUGAAUGUUCAAAUGUCUAAAUAACUUAGUGACAAGUGCUGAGUAAGGAAGUUGGCCCUUGUCUUUCACCAUCGUUCUAUACAUGUGGAACAUAAUAGUGUGUGGAAGAGAGAAAUUUUUGCCAGCGUUAAUGGCAUACAUCAGCUUUGCCUCCAAGUUUGAAACAUCGGUCUUCAAAGUUGAUUUGGGUCUGAGGCAGUUGAUCACUAUCUUGUGAAGCAAAAUAUUUGAGGCAUUCAUCCUCAAAUAUGAAAUGUUUCCUUCCGCCAUUCUAUCUUGAACAAGCUCUACCGUUGCACGUCCAAUUGACACACUGAUUGGCUGGUAUUUCCUUCUUUCAACCUUAAUCACAUCAGCCAAUGUAUCUAUGUCAACUACAUAGUCCUGAUCUCGAACACUGAAAGAGAAUGGGUUAUGCAUCUUCAAUAAUUUCUUCCUCUUCUCGAUGUUCAAUAUUCUGAGGUCUAGAUGGAGGCGAUAGACGCUGCUGAGAAUGUUGUGGGCUCUGCUGCUGCCUAGGAGAUUAUUCUUCCUUGGUGAGGUAAAAAUGUGUAGGACCCUCACGCAUUUGUUGUGGUCCCCUAUUCGCGAUCCUCGAAGACUUUUUUUGAGACGACAUCCUUCAUAGUCUUUGAGAGAUUCCAAGAUUGUUUCGCAAGAAAGGUGAAAACUUUUCGAGGAUUAAAAAAGAGAAGUUGAAUAUCUGUGCUCUCUUAAGGUUUUUGUGAGUAAAACAAAGAAGAACCAACAUUAUAUAAGGCAGUUGAGGCGAGGCAAACGGAACGUCAUAAAAGGAAAUAUAAAAAUGCCUUUUCAAAAAAUAACUGUCUUUUUUGAAAAAAAAAAUAGAUAACCGUCAUUUCAAGAAUAACUUCUUUUUCGAAAGGAAAGAUUGCAAUAAUCACGAAAACUGGGAGAGAUAAUAUCAAUCAAUUACAGAUAGAUGAUCGUACAUUUUCGAGAUUUUAUCCGAGAGAUAAAUUUCUAAAACAAAAAUAACUUACAGUCGUGAAUCUUGAUUGUCUGAGUCUGAGUAUCUUUAGACUUUAAGCCCUGAGUCUGAACUUCCUCAGACUUUAAGAUAUUGAGUCUAGAACAAAUAACUUCAAAUUGAUUUUUCUCCAAAGGCUUUGUUAAUAUGUCCGCUAGUUGAUUCUUUGAAUCAAUGAACUGAAUCAAAAUUUCUCCAUUUUGAACAUGAUCUCUAAUGAAAUGAUGUCGAAUCUCUAUAUGUUUUGCUCUUGAGUGAAGAAUUGGAUUCUUGGUGAGAUUGAUUGCACUGGUGUUGUCACAUUUGAUCUUAGUGCAUGAAUCUUCAAUUCCAAAGUAUCUUAGCUGUUGUUUUAUCCACAUAAUUUGUUAACAACAACUUCCAAGAGCUACAUACUUUGCUUAUGAUGUAGAAAGAGCUACAGUACUUUGCUUCCUUGAAAACCAGGACAUUAUCCUAUUACCAAGUAGUUGACAGGUGCCCGAGGUGCUUUUUCUAUCAACUCUGCAUCCUGCUAGGUUUGCGUCUGAGUAUUCAAGAAGAGUGAAGUCUCUUUUUUUAGGAUACCAGAGGCCUAAAUUUGAAGUUGAGGCAAUGUAUUUGAUAAUACGUUUUGCAGCGCUUAAAUGAGAUUCUUUGAGGUCUGAUUGAAAUGUGGCACAAAUACAAACACUAAACAGAAUGUCAGGUCUAGAAGCAAUAAGAUAAAGAAGUGAACCAAUGAUACUCAUGUAUAGCUUUUGGUCAACUUUUUUUCCUCCCUCAUCUUUGUCCAGCUUCAAAGAACUUGACAUUGGUAUAUCAGUCUUUUUGCAAUUCUCCAGUCCAAACUUUUUGACAAGUUCUUUAACAUAUUUUUCUUGAUGAAUAAAGGUUCCUUUCUUCAGUUGCUCCACUUGAAGCCCGAUAAAGAAGAUUAGUUCACCCAUCAUGUUCAUUUCAAAUUCAUCUUGCAUAGACUUAGAGAAUUUCUUACACAUAUUUUCAUUAGAAUAUCCAAAAAUAAUAUCAUCAACAUAAAUUUGAACAAGUAAAAAGCUUUUGCUUUCUCUUUUGAUAAACAGUGUAGUAUCUACUUUACCUUUGACAAAACCAUUUUGAAUUAAAAACUUACUUAGUCUGUCGUACUAAGCUCGAGGUGCUUGCUUUAAACCAUAUAGAGCCUUUUUCAAUCUGAAUACAGAGUUUGGUUUCCUUGGGUCUUCAAAACCGGGUGGUUGUUCCACAUAGACUUCCUCUUGGAUAAAUCCAUUUAGGAAAGCACUUUUGACGUCCAUUUGGAAUAACUUGAAAUUAUUAUAACAAGCAAAAGCAAGUAAUAAUCUAAUUGCUUCUAACAUUGCUACUGGCGCGUAAGUCUCAUCAUAGUCUAUCCCUUCUUCUUGCGUAUAUCUUUUGGCCACGAGUCUUGCUUUGUUUCUUACGACUUUUCCUUUCUCGUUCAUCUUGUUCCUGAAAACCCAUUUAGCUCCAAUGAUGGAUUUACUUCGGUUUAGGAGUCAAUUCCUAGACAUCAUUGAUACUGAAUUGCCUGAGUUCUUCUUGCAUAGCUUCAAUCUAGCUUUCAUCAGUUAAAGCUUCUUCUAUGCUUUUGGGUUCUAUUUCAGAAAUAAGAGUCACAGCACUAGACUCUUCACGCCUUUUGAAUUUUUGUGCGAAUUCCUUCAUUAAUAUCACCAAUAAUGAGAUCUUAGGGAUGACUGGACUAAUGCUUCAAGUUGUUGGUUGAUUUGUCAAACAGUUGAUCAUUUCCCUCAUUUGAAUCUUCAAUGAUCAUUUGUUGCUGGUCUUCUGAAGUUUGAGAUGCUUUUGGAGAUUUAGACUUUGUAGAGUCUGGAGCAGGUUUAGAUUCUUCAAGUUGAAUCUGAAUCGAUUGAUUUUGCAUAAAGUCUUGAAAUUUGACAUUCAUUGAUUCCUCCACAGAUUGAGGCUUUUUGUUGUAUACUCUGUAAGCUUUGCUUGUGAUUGAAUAUCCAAGGAAAAUACCUUCAUCUGAUUUUUCUUCUAACUUACCAACUCGAUCAUUUGUAUUUUUCAAUAUAAUACAUUUGCAUCCAAACACAUAAAAAUACGAAACAAUUGGCUUCUUUCCUUUGAAUAACUCAUAGGGAGUUUUCUCCAGAAUAGGCUUUAAUAAGACUCUAUUAAUAAUAUAGCACGCUGUAGAAACUACUUCAGCCCAAAAACGAGAAGAGAUGUUACUUUCAAUUAAAAGAGUUCUAGCCAUUUCCUGCAGCAAUCUAUUCUUUCUUUCCACAACCCCAUUUUGCUCUGGAGUAUAUGGUGAAGAAAACACAUGCUAAAAGCCAGAUUCAUCACAGGAUUUUGCAAAGUCUUGAUUUUCAAAUUCACCUCCAUGGUCAGUCCGUAUACUUGAAAUAACAUACCCUUUCUCAUUUUUAGCAAACUUUAUAAAAUAAGAAAAGGUUUUAGACUUACUUGCCAGGAAAUAUACCCAAGUGAAUCGUGAAUAAUCAUCCACAAUUACUAGGCAAUAUUUCUUACCUCCAAUGCUCUGAGUUCUGGUUGGUCCAAAAAAAUCCAUAUGCAAGAGCUGCAGUACACGAUUAGUGGAUAUUUGAUUUAUUGGUUUGAGUAAAUUUCUUACAUGUUUUCCCAACACGCAUGGUGUGCAUAGAUCAGACUUUUGGUAUGUCAAUUUGGGUAGUCCAUGAACAAGCUUCUUUGCUGAGAUUUUGGCUAUUUGCUUCAUGUUGAUGGGCUCAAGUUUUUUGUGCCAUAAGUUUGCUUCCUCUUGAAUUGAGAUUAGACAUUGGGUUUCAUCUGGUUUGAUAUCCAAGACCAUGUCUUCGCCCCGUGAAAGAUUGAGAGGAGUCUUUACUGGUUCAUGAACAUAUUCCUUCUUGAAAGUUGAUUUUGAAACCAGUGUACCACAGCUGACUGAUACUCAGCAAGUUCUAGUUGAGUCCUUGUACUAAGGAAACAUUACUGAUCGUGAGGCUUCCAAUCUUUACAGUUUUGUAUCCCAUAAUUAUUUCUUGCUAUUUCCUCCAAAAGAAACUUUUCCACCAUUAACUUGUACAAGUUUUAUGAAACAAUUUGAGUCUCCUGUCAUAUGUUUUGAGCAUCCACUAUCCAAGUACCAUUUAACAUUUUUCUUGAUAGUGCCCUGCAUUUAGAAAAGAAACUCAAGCUUUCUUUGGUACCCAUAUUUUCUUGGGUCCAUUGGUGUUAGUCUAAUAUAUGGUAUUUGCCCAUAUCUUCUUAAUAGGUUUCCAAACCAUAGGACAUUCUUUCUCAAAAUGAUCUGAGCUAUUGUACUUAGAACAUUUAAGAGCACUGCGGCCUACAGGUUUUACAAAAACUUUUUGGAAAUGAUCUUUGUAAAAAUCUUUUAUAGGUCUUUGCUUAAUUCUUUCAUUUACUUUAGGAAAAUCAAUUAUAGGAACAGUCAUUCCUAAACCUGAUUUGUUGAAGUAAGGUCUUUGUGCUGAAAGAAUUUUUUCAAGUUUCUCAGAUCCUAUAGAAAAUCUUUUAGAAAUACUUGAGAUAUUAUUUUUCAAGAAUGCAUUUUCUUUUGAAAAAUUGUCUGCAUUUUCUUUCAAAGUAGUAACACUUUUGUCUAAACUUUUGACCUCUUUCCAAACAUUUUCCUGUUGUUUUAGUGCAGAAUUUUCCCUUUUAAGUUCGGAAAUCCUUUUAAGAGGGAUUUUAAGACUAAGACACAAUUCAUCAAUAUAUCUAGAGACUUUAGUAUGAAUUUUUAAAUUACUUACCUCAGUUUCACUGUCCGAGUCUGAGUCUGUCUCUGAGUCUGAAUCUGAGUCUAAUUGAGCCAUGAGACAAAUAUUAGCAUAGUCAUCACCUUCCUCACAUUUGGUAUCACUCCAAGUGUCUACUUUAAGUGUCUUUCGAUAUUUCUCAGCUUUUCCUUUCUUUCUCUUCAGAAGGGGACAAUUGGGUCUGAUGUGUCCUUUUUUCUUGCAUUCAAAGUAGAUUACAUAUUUAUUGGAUUCAUUAUCCUCAACUGAUUUAUUUUGUGGCUUUUGAAAACUUUGUUUCUUUGGAUUGAACCUUCUUCCCUUUCUGUUCAGUUUUCUGAACCUUCUUAUCAUGAGAGCAAGCUCUUCAUCAUCCAUAUUGUCUUCAGAAUCUGUGACAUCAUAAUCAUCAUUAGAUUUUAAUGCAAUGGAUUUCUUAUAUUUAGGAUCUUCAUCUUCAUUGAUUUGCUCCACUUCAUAAGACUGAAGAGUCCCAACCAAUUUGUCAACAGAGAGUGGCAUGAUUCUUUGUGUCUCCCUUAUUGAAGUCUUUAUGUGAUUCCAAUCCUUGGAUAGUCAACGCAGUAACUUGUUAACCUUCAUGGGUCCAGAAAUUGGUUGACCUUGAUAUUCAAGACCAUUCAUGAUUUCUGUAAAAUGACUAAACAUGUCAGUCAUAGAUUCUCCUGGUUUCAUCUUGAAUGCUUCAUAUUGACCGAGCAGAAUGUUGAUUCUGGUUUCUUUCACUCGAUCAGUUCCUUCAUAGGUAAUGUGCAAUCUAUCCCAGACUUCUUUAGUUGUUUCACAAGAAGAUAUUCUGUUAUAUUCAAUAGGAGAUAAUGCACAAUAUAAAGAAUAAAUUGAUUUUGCUUCAAGAGCUUGUCUCUUGGUUAUCUCUUCAUGAGUCAUUUUACUGGACUCAACAGCUUAUUUUCCUUUUUCUAAGACUGUGGCAGCUUUAGGAAUGAUUUCUUUGUCUACCACGUCCCAUUCCAGAGGAUCCUUUGAUUUUAGGAAUGCCUUCAUCUUGUUUUUCCAUAUGUUGUAUUCAUUUCCAUCAAAAUAAGGUGGUCUGUUAUUGCUUUGCCCUUCAACCAGGCCUGGAGCCAACAUACUAGCCAUGCAUCUUUAACUCUGAAGUAAAACACUUCAACUUAAGUGAGUACACAGGGUCUUAUACCAAUUGCGAAAAUCUAGUACGAGCACCUAGAAGGGGUGAAUAGGUGCAAAGACGAAUUUUCCAAAGUGAAGUGAUCAACUUUGAUCAGCAAUAGAUUAUGAAAAAGAAAUAGACUCAUGUAAUCAAAUUGAAUUACGAUCAAAGUAAAAGAGCUUAGGGAAGAGAAUAAAAACAUAGAGUUUAUAGUGGUUCGGCUUAGUCCAAGCCUACGUCCACUCUUCCGCAUUGACAUCCCACUAGCUGGAUUUCACUAUGAAUCAAAAGAGUUGUUACAAUACAGCUCUUCCUUGAUUCCACAGUGUAGAGACUCUGCUACACUUCCUCAAGGUCUCACAAAGAUAUAAACUCUCUUUUGAGUACAAGAUUUCGCUCCACAAUUGAAUUGACUAAGAAUAAAGAGCUUUAGACUUUGGAAUUCUUCUAUUGCGCACACACUCGAAUAACUGGAACGUUUUCCUUAUAUACUCCUUCAUGCCAUCACACCCGUUGGCACUUACCAAAUGAGUUCUUCCAAUCUACUUGUUAGACAUAAUCAAUUAGAGAGAUUUCGAGUUAUUUAAGAAAUAUGCCGAUAGCCCACCAAUCAUGCUCGCUCAUACAAUCAUGAUCUAGGUUUCUAUAAGUAGAACCUUCCAAGUAUACUUUGCCAAUUAACAGAUCCAAAAUCCCUGAAUCAAUCUCAAUUUGAAUAAUGGAUUCUGACAUGCUAUAUCCAGCCAAGAGAUCUUCUUCAGUCAAUAGAAUCAAAUCCUUAACGAAAUACUCAGUUCUAGAUAAGCCUUCUUCGACGAUCUAGAAAUUGUCAAUGAGGAUAGACUUUAAGUCUUGAGUCUGGCAAUCCGGUGGUCUUCAGACUUUGAUGAAAGAGUUUGCAGACUUUGAUAGAAGAGUUUGCAAGUCUUCAGACUAAACUGAUGGAAAUGUUUUGUCAACUUCAAAACACUCAAUGAAGAUUUCUCCAACAAAUGGGUGUGAAGAACAUUUUUUGCAAGAUCUAGUAGAAGUUUUUAUUUUUUUUAAGAUAAUAAACUAUGAACGAGUUUAGCUUUAAACUGUUAGAUAAAACUUCAAAUAAAUGAGUUUAAGCUUAAAUAGUUAACUAGAGCUACGAAUCAAAAUAAAAAGAGUUUAAGGAAGAGAAUAAGAACACGAAGUUUAUAGUGAUUCGGCUUAGAUCAAACUUACUCCACUCUCCCGCAUUAACAACCCACUGGCUAGAUUUCACUAAGAAUUAAAAGAGAUUUACAACUUGUGAUCUUGACUUCUCAAUAAAGAGUCUCUAUUGGUCUCUCACAGAGUCUCCCGCGCUUACGUCAACUCUCCUGUGCUAAUAGCUCACUGGCUAGAUUUCACUAAGAAUCAAAAGAGAUUUACAACUUGUGAUCUUGACUUCUUAAUGAAGAGUUUCUACUGGUUUCUCACAGUCUCACUAUGAGUAUCUCUCUUUUGUGUAUACGACUUGAGCACGGUGAAUGAAAUAACAAUGAACUAGGAAGCUUCAGACUUUGAAAUUUUUCUUUCACGCACACUUUCGAACAACUAGAAAGUUCGCCUUAAAUACUCCUUCAUGCCUUCACGACCGUUGGCACUUUCCACAAUAAUUCUUCUAAUCUACACAUUGGAUAGAAUCAAUCAAAGUAAUAUCGAGUCGUUAGAUGAUUGUGAUGAAAGCCCGUCAAUCAUGUUCACCCAUACAAUCAGGAUUUUGGUUUCCAUAAGUAGAACAUUCUAAGUUUGCUUGCCUUCCAAAAGAUUUGAACAUCGAAAUUGAUUCCAAUAAAAAUAAUCAAUCAUGUAGGUACUAUAUCCAGCCAUAAAGUCAUCCAUGAACCAUACGAAUCGAAUCCUUGAAGAUAAUCUUGCAUCUGGAUAAGUCUUCAUUCUUCAGUCUGGAAACUAUCAGUGUGGGCAGACUUUGAAUCUAAAGUCUAGCAGUCUUCAGACUUUGACGCUAGAGUCUGGAAGUCUUCAGACUAGACUUUUGGAAAUGUUUUGUCAACUUCAAAAUAGUAAAUAAGUUUUCUCCAACACCAAGAAUGGGGAAAAAGGUAGACUCAAACUCCACCUCACAUGGACACCCAAAACGGACGUGACGUACCUCCAUCUAAGGACUUGAAAAAUUUUAAACCACGACGGGGUGAGAUAAAUCUCAAUUAUUCUACACCCGAAAUCCCGAUUAAGACAAGAAUUCACUCAGAGGCAACUUAAACAGGCGUCACACACGAACUUACCUCGCCUCUGCGUCUCCCUGCACAUUAGCUCAUCAUAUGUAUCAUAUGCAUACAACAAACGUAUUUCAUAACUGGAACACAUCAAUUCAUCUUUCAAAUAAUCACAUGGAUUCUGAUUAUAAGGCCAAAUCGUUAUGACACAUCCCAUUUCGUGCCACACAAUUUUGUCCAAUAAUCAAGCGCGGCUAUCUCAAUCACUCACACAUGUCUCAGUUAUUACGACCCAUCGGCCAUGUCCAACUCAAUAGUCGACAGUCAUCUGGCAUAACUAGGUGUCGUCUCGCCUCAUCGAGCACGGCAUCGUCCCACGUAAACGCAUCAGGACGGCAUUCCAUAAGGAGCAUCGAUGCAGUUUGUUAGAGAAAACUCAUUUAUUGUUUUGAAGCUGACAAAAAAUUUCCAAAAGUCUAAUAUGAAGAUUUACAAACUCAAGUAUUAUAGUUUGAAGAACUCCAUACGCUAUUGUCAAAGUCUGAAGACCACCAAACAUAAGUGUCAAAGUCUGCCCUCACUGAGAGUUUCCAAACCGAAGAAUGAAGACUUAUACAAAUAUUGGAUUAUUUUCAAGGAUUCGAUUCGUAUGGUUUUUGGAAGACCUUAUCGCUAGAUAUAACAUCUACUCAUUUGAUUAUUCUUAUUGGAAUCUACUCCGAUACGAAGAUCUUUUGAAGGGAGGGAAAACUUGGAAAGUUUUACUUAUGGAAACCAAGAUCCUGAUUGUAUGGGCGAACAUGAUUAACAAGCUUUCAUCAUCAAUCAUCAACGACUCGAGAUCACCUUAAUUGAUUCUGUCCAACGGGUAGAUUGGAAGAAUUUCUUUGGAAAGUGUCAACGGUCGUGAAGGCAUGAAAGAGUAUUUAAGGAUGAUUCUCCAGUUGUUCAAAGUGGUGUGUGAAAGAAUAAUUUCAAAGUCUGAGUCUCUAUAGUUCAUUGCUCUUUCAUUCAUCGAGCUCAAAGUUGUACACAAAAAGAAAGAAACACAUAGUGAGACUUUGUGAGAGAUUAGUAGAAACUCUUCACUGAGGAAGUCGAGAUCACAAGUUGUAAAAUCUCUUUUGAUUCAUAGGGAAAUCCAGCCAAUGGACUGUCAACACGGGAGAGUGGACGUAGGCUUGAUCUAAGUCGAACCACUAUAAACGUUGUGUUUCUAUUCUUUUUCCCUAAACUUCUUACUUUUAAUUCGAAGCUUUAUAUAUUUGUUUAAAGUUGAUUACAUUCUUAUUCUAUUAUCUUCUAAAGGUAAUUUACUUUUACUAAGUCUUGCCAAAAAAUAUAAUAAUAACACCUAUUCACUCCCCUCUAGGUGUUUAUACUAGCCAUUUCAAUUGGUAUCAGAGCUUGCGUGCUCAUUUUAUUGAAAUGUUUUUACUUCUGAGCUAAAGAUCUAUGGCUAGUAUUUUGGCUCCAGGUUUAAUUGAAGGCCAAAGCAACACCAGAUUUCCUUACUUUGAUGUGAAGGAAUACAAUGUGUGGAAAAACAAGAUGAAGGCAUUCUUGAGAUCAAAAGAUCCCCUGGAAUGGGAUGUGGUAGAAAAAUGAAUCAUUCCUAAAGCUACAUCAAUCUCAGAGAGAGAAAAAGAAGUUGCAGACGCUGGUGAAAUGGGAUAAGAAAAAAUAACCAAGAGACAAGCUCUUAAUGCUAAAGCCAUAUAUUCAUUAUAUUGUCUUUAUCUCCUACUAAGUAUAAUAGAAUUUCAUCUUGUGAAACAGUAAAAGAAGUAUGGGAUAAGUUGCACAUCACCUAUGAAGGAACUGAUCGAGUUAAAGAAACAAAAAUCAAUAUCUUAUUUGGACAGUAUGAAGCCUUCAAGAUGAAGUCAGGAGAAUCCAUCACUGACUUGUUUAGUCAUUUCACAAAGAUUGUAAAUGGUCUAACAUAUCAAGGAUAGCCAAUUUCAGGACCAAUGAAGGUCAAUAAAUUGCUGCGUGGACUCUCUAAAGACUGGAAUUACGUGAAGACUUCUAUAAGAGAAACCCAGAUGAUCAUGCCUCUUUUGGUAGAUAAAUUAGUUGGCACACUUCAAUCAUAUAAAGUGGAGCAAAUCAAUUAGGAGAAAUAUCCUAAAGGUAAUAAGUCAAUUGCAUUAAAAUCUAAUGAUUUGAUGAUAUAGAUUCAGAAGAUGACAUGGACGAUGAAGAGCUACUACUCAUGAUAAGAAGGUUUAGGAAGCUGAAUAAGAAGGGAAGAAGAUUUAACUGGAAGAAGCAAGGCACUCAAAAAUUCCAAAACAGAUCAACUGAGAAUGAUGAAGUCAACAAAGAUGUGGUUUGCUUUGAAUGCAAGAAAAAUGGACAAAUCAGACCUAACUGCCCUUUCUUGAAGAAAAAGAAAGGAAGAACUGAGAAAUUCAAUAAGGCUCUCAAAGUAGAAACAUGGAGUGAUAUUGAAUGCGAGGAAAGUGAUAAAUAGCAUGCCAACAUAUGUUUAAUGGUCAAUUUAGAUUCAGACUUAGACUCUGAAAUACUCUGAAAUAUAUUCAGAUUCAGACUCAAACAAUGAAAUCGAGGUUAGCGAUUUGAAAAUUCAUGUUAAAGUUUUGAAGUAUAUAAAUGAACGUUGUCUUAGUCUCAAAACCUCACUUAAAAUGAUUUCCAAGCUAAAGAUGGAGAAUUCUAAACUGAGACAACAUGAAAUUUCUUGGAAAGAAGAGUUUGAAAUCUAGACAAAAUUUUUGUUAAUUUGAAAGAAAAUGCAUAUUCUCUUUUGAAUGAAAAUACCUUUUUGAAAGAGUAUAUUUCAAAUAUCACAAAAAGAUUUUCAAUAGAAUCUGAGAAGUUGGAAAAGAUUCUUUCAAUAUAAAGACCUUAUUUCAACAAAUCUGGUCUGGGUAUGACACCAGAAACUAUUCAUUUAAUUGAUUUUCCAAAAGUAAAGGAAAUAAUCAAAUAAAGGCCUACAAAAAUAUUUUACAAUAACCAUUUUCAAAAAAUAUUUGUAAAACUUGUCGGUCGAAGUGCACUAAAAUGUUCAAAGUGUAAUAGCUCUGAACAUUUCGAGAAAAAAUGUCCAAAGGUUUGGAGACCUGUUAAGAAGGAUUGGGCAAAGACUGUAUUUAGUACUAACUCCCAUAGACGCAGGAAAAUGUGGAUACCAAAGAAAGCUUAAGUUCUUUUAUAAUUACAUGUCACUAUCAAGAAAAAGAUCGAAUGCUAUUUGGAUAGUGACUACUCUAGACACAUGACUGGAGAUUUAAGUUGUUUUAUAAAGCUUGUGCAAAUAAAUGGUGGAAAAGUUUCUUUUGGUGGAAACAGUAAAGGAAGAAUUGUUGGAUGCGGAACUGUGAAGAUUGGAAGUUUCACAAUCAACAAUGUUUCCUUAGUGGAAUGUUUAAAUUACAAUCUACUUAGCAUUAGUCAACUGUGUGAUAUUGGAUUCAAAAUCAAUUUUGAAGAAGGCAUUUGUUUGGGAACUAGUAAAAGUUUCUCUUAAUAUUUCACUGGACGAAGACAUGGAAAUAUUUACCUUAUGAAUAUAAAACCAGAAAAUUCUCAGUAUCUAAUCUUCAUUCAAGGUGAAGCAAACAUUUGGCAUCGAAAGUUUAGCCAUGUUAACAUGAAGCAGAUUGCCAAGAUUUCCUCCAAGAAGCUUGACUUAUCAAAAGUCUGACUUAUGCACACCAUAUGUUUUGGGAAAACGGGUUAGAAGUUCUUUUAAACAGAUAAAUCAAGUUUCUACUAAUCGAGUUUUGCAGCUUCUGCAUAUAGAUCUCUUUCGACCAACCAAAAUGCAAAGCAUUGGUGGAAAAAGAUAUUGCCUAGUAAUUGUGGAUGAUUACUCUUACUUUCCUGGCGAGUAAGUCUGAAACUUUCUCUUACCUUUCAAAAUUUGUCAAGAAGGUUCAGAAUAAGAAAGGUUAUGCUAUUUCAAGCAUACAGACAGACCAUGGAGGUGAGUCGAAAAUCAAGACUUUGCAAAACUCUGUGAUGAAUAUGGUUUUCCAACAUAUUUUCUCUUCUCCAUAUACUCCAGAACAGAUGAGAUUGUGAAAAGAAAAAAUAAAUCUUUGCAGGAAAUAGCAAGAACAAUCUUAAUUGAGAGUAAUAUUUCUUCUCAUUUUUGGUCUGAAGUAGUCUUUACAGCUUGCUAUAUCAUUAGCAUAUUAUUUUUAAGACCUAUUCUAGAGAAAAAUCCUUAUGAAGUGUUUAAAGGGAAAAAAGUCAAAUGUUUCUUAUUUUCAUGUAUUUGGUUGUAAGUGUUUUGUUUUGAAAAAUGCAAAUGAUCGAAAUAGUAAGUGUGAAGAAAAGUCAGAUGAGACAAUUUUCCUUGGCUACUCUAUCUCGAGCAAAGCAUAUAGAAUUUUCAAUGAAAAGACUCAAUCCGUGGAAGAAUCGAUGAACAUCAAGUUUCAAGAAUCUAUGCAGAAUCAACUAGAUCAGACUCAACUUGAAGAAUUUGAACCUACUCUAAAUUUUACAAAGUCUACUUCCCUGAAGUGGUUCCAACUUCUAAAGAUAAACAACAAGUAGAACCAGAAGAUUAAAUUGAAACAGAGGAUCAGCAGACUUCAAAACCAACCAGUAACUGGAAGCAUAAGUCUAGUCAUCUCAAGGAACUCAUCAUUGGCAACAUUGAUGAAGGAAUUUGCACCAGAUUCCAAAGGCAAGUAGAGUCUAGUGCUUUAGCACUUGUUUCUGAAAUUGGACCCAAAAGUAUAGAAGAAGCCUUGGCUGAUGAAAGCUGGAUUGAAACUAUGCAAGAAGAGUUCAGACAAUUCAGCAUUAACGAUGUUUGAGAGCUAAUUCCUAAACCUAAAAGUAAGUCUAUUAUUGGAAUUAAAUGGGUUUUUAGGAAUAAGGUGGACGAGAAAGGAAAAUUGGUUAGGAAUAAAGCAAGACUUGUGGCCAAAGCAUAUAUGCAAAAAGAAUGGAUGGACUAUGAUGAGACCUAUCCACCAGUAGCAAGGUUGAAAGCAAUUAGAUUAUUACUUGUUUUUGCUUACUAUAAAAAUUUAAGGCUAUUCCAAAUAGAUGUAAAAAGUGCAUUCCUAAACGAAUUCAUCCAAGAAGAAGUUUAUGUGGCACAACCACCUAGAUUUGAAGUUCCAAGAAAGCCAGACUCAGUCUUCAGACUGAAAAAAGCCCUGUAUGGAUUAAAGCAAGCACCUCGAGCUUGGUAUGAAAGGUUAAGUAAAUUCCUAACUCAAAAUGAUUUUGUUAAAGGUGGAUACUACUUUGCUCAUUAAAAGAGAAGGUAAAGAUUUCUUACUUGUUCAAAUUUAUGUUAAUGAUAUUAUUUUUAGAUCACCUAAUGAAAAUCUAUGCAAUAAGUUUUCUAAGUCUAUGUAGGAUGAAUUCGAGAUGAGCAUGACGGGUAAAUUAACUUUCUUUCUCAUAUCACAAAUUAAACAAUUGAAGAAAUGAAUUUUCAUUCAUCAAGAAAAAUAUGCAAAAGAUCUCAUCAAGAAAUUUGGAUUAGAAAAUUACAAAAAGACUGAGAUAUCAAUAUCAAGUUCUUCAUAGCUGGGCAAAGAUGAAGGAGGAAAGAAAGUUGACCAGAAGCUCUAUAGGAGUAUUAUUGGUUCGCUUCUUUACCUUACUGCAUCUAGACUUGACAUUUUGUUUAGUGUUUACAUUUGUGUUAGAUUCCAAUCAGAUCCCAAAGAAUCUCAUCUAAGUACUGCAAAACGCAUAGUCAAAUAUGUUGCGACUACUCCAAAGCUAGGUCUGUGGUACCCCAAAUAAUGAGACUUUACUCUCCUUGGAUAUUUAGAUGCAGAUUUAGCAGGUUGCAGAGUUGAUAGAUAUAAUACUUCUGGUACUUGUCAAUUGCUGAGCAACAAACUGGUGUCUUGGUUCUCAAGAAAACAGAGUAUCGUAGCUCUUUCAACAGCUGAAGCAGAGUAUGUGGCUCUUGGAAGUUGCUAUUCUCAAAUUUUGUGGAUAAAGCAACAACUAAGAGACUUUGAAAUUGAAAAAUCGUGCACCGAAAUCAAAUGCGAUAACACCAGUGCCAUCAAUCUCACAAAGAAUCAAAUUCUUCAUUCAAGAGCAAAGCACAUAGAAAUUCAACACCAUUUCAUUAGAGAUCAUGUUCAGAACGGAGAAGUUAUGAUUCAAUUCAUUGACUUGAAGAAUCAGUUGGCAAGCAUAUUUACAAAGCCACUGGAGAAAAGUCUAUUUGAGUCUAUUCGCACCAGACUGAAUAUCAUAUAUUCUAUCGGGUAAAGUCUAAAGGUGUUCAGACUUAGAAUGUACAAAAGUUGCGACAAUAAGUUAAUCCUUUCUAAAUGCAUGUCACUUUAUUUUAGAUAAAAUUUUUGAAAAGGUACGUUAAUUUUUAUUCUUUUUAAUCGUUACUUGCCUAUUUUAUUUUUAGAAUUUAUCUUUUUUUAGUUAUGAAUUUAUGGCAGUUUUUCAUUUUCAAAAAUGCAAUUUUUACUUUUUCCUUUGUGACGAUUAGAAUACCCGUUUCAUUUGCUUUAUAUACUGUCGAUUUUCUUCUUCUUCAUUUUCACUCACAAACCCUAGAAUAUAGAACUCCCACUUCUCACUCUCUCUCUAGUUUAAUCCGAAAAGAUUUCACAUUUUUUCACGAUCGAGUUCGAGGAAUCCCCCAAAGAAAGUGACAAUGUCUUCUCAAAGAAAGUCUUCUAGAAUCGUGAGCAAGGGACCACAACAUAUGCAUGAAGGUCCUACACACUUUGAUCUGACCAAGGAAGAAGACUCUCCUCAGCAGCAGCAGCAAAGUCAACAACAACAUUCUCAAUGGCAUCACUCUUCUCAACAUAAGACUCAAGAUCCUCCACAGCAACAACCAGAAGAAGAAAUUUUGGAAGACGUGGAACAUGUAAGAACGUUGAAACUCAAAUUUCUCUUUAAACUCUACUCUAAGUUAAAACAAGGUGGAACUACGAUGACUUUCAUUGAUGAGUUCUUGAGUGAGAGAGGGAACAGGAAUGAGACUCACUUUUUGAGAACAAUGGAAAGUAUGGGCAUUGCGCCUGUAGGUUUCGUAGCAAGGAUCUUUGCCAACUUUCCAAAUGAUCCACGGUUUGGUAAUUUUAAUCAACCUAAAGGGAAAGAUAACGAUGAAAAGAUGUACACAAAUUUUCAGCCUAAGAUGGGUGUCACUGCAAAUGUUCAUGGUGAGAGGACGGAUUUAUUUUAUUCUAAGGACCAUAAGAAAACUUAUUCGAAACUGUUGAAGUGAGGAGUUAUGAACCCUAGAAGCGUGGACUUCGAUUUUCUUUAUUUGUUGAGAGUAAAACUGGGGGAGAAGUUUACACUCCUUCAACUCAAACGUUUUUGCUCUAAGACGAUUGUCGCCUACCUAGAACUUACGGCUUACUUCUAUUCGAAUCUAUAUUUUCUAGAUGCGAAUAUAUUCUCUUUUACAAUUAGGGAAAAAUAAUUUGUGGUCGAUGUGGACACAUUGGCUGAUGUGAUUGGGGUGACAAGAGGAAGUUUCCAACCAAUCAGUGUAUCUAUUGCUCACGCUACUUUGGAACUUGUUCGGGACAGAUUUGCUGAAAGCAGAAUUUCUUACUCAAGAAUGAAUACCUAUAAUAUUUUGCUUCACAAGAUUGUGAUCAACUGCAUCAGACCCAAAUCCACUUCAAAAACUGAUGUCUAUCACUCUGAAGCGAAGAUAAUGUAUGCAAUUAACAUCGGAUUCAAGUUCUCUUUGCCUCACACUAUCUUAAUGAACGUGUAUAGGACACUUGUGAAGGAUAAGGGGCAAUUUCCUUACUCUGCUCUUGUUACUCAACUAUUCAUACAUUUCAAUAUUCAGCCUCCUGUUAUUCCAUGUGUUCGAACCAUUGUUCCAUGGUAGUUGGACUGAAAAUGAUUUCUAAGAUGCGUCAAAAGGAGGUGAACAAGGCAUUGGAGCAACUGAAGGAGAAAUCCCCUGCCAAAACUAAACAAGACUCUACAGUGAAGAAGAGAAAAGGCGAAGAACCAAUGACUGCACCAAUCAAGAAAAUGAGAGCCCUUAUUUUACAAGAUGAAGAAGAUGAGGAUGAUAUCACUCUCUUUGCUUUUGGCUUGAGAAAUUUAAAGAUCUUUGUUAGUUUUGAUGCGCUAGAUGAUUGAGAGCACAGAGAAAGAGAAGAGACAGAGAAGAGAGAUGAAGACAGAGAACAGAGGAGAACAGAGGAAAAGGAAAGAAGAACAAAGGAAGAAAGAGAAAGAGAAGAAGAAGAAGAAGAAGAAGAAGAAGAAGAAGAAGAAGAAGAAGAAGAAGGUCAAGAUAAUUCUUUUGAGAAAAACAUUUGUUGUAUCCUUGUCGGAAGAAUCGGAUAAGACAAGGAGAGGAAAUGCAGGAGAAGAAAGAGAAAAACAUCACAUUGGUGUUGAAGAAGAGAAAUAACGGGAAAAUGAAUUAUUUUCUCCACCUGAAGGCAUAGAAACAGAGGGAGCAACUGACAAAAGAGGAACUUCUUCACCUAUUUUCACUAGUGAUGUUAGUAGAUCUCCAGCAGAUCUAGAGGAUGUCUAUGCCUCUCAAUAUCCUGAAGCAGAUCUUGAGGCAUCCUCUCUAAGUCCUGGUGAUCGAAUAGCUGGUGUUCCCUUACAUCUCAAGACUCCUAGAAUUGACUCCGCUGGACCUAGUGCUACAUCAAAACCAAUAGUAGACUUUCAAAGGCUGUUAGAUCUCCUUUUGGAAUUGAAGGGUCAGCAAUAUGGUUUCGAGUUUGAGAUAAAUAACAUGAUGAAAGUUCUCAAUUCGACUUCGGACUCUCUACAAGAGUAGCUACAAGCCCUGAAGAUUCAAAUGCAAGAAAAUGCAAAGGGUGAGGAUAUUCAACAGCUGAAGGAGACUCUGAAGAAGUUGGAGGACACUGUCAAGUCUAUGGAGGAAUUCUAGCUCGUUAGAAUCCCAAAACAGCCAUGACUUUUUACCCAACUCUUUUAUAGUUAUUCUCCACUUUUUGUUGUUGACAAAAAGGGAGAGAGUUUGCAUAGUUUGUGCAAAUUUGACCUAACUUAUCUUUUUGGGCACAACACUUUUUGCUUGGUUUGAUUUUGAUGACUUUUUGUUUGGUUUGGACUUUGGUAUUUUAUUUUGGUUUUGGACUGAUAUAUUUUGGAUUUUUUACUGCUAUUUGGUUUUGAAUCUUUUUGACGUUUGUAGUAAUUGAGUUUUUGAUUUUGAUUAUGGCUGGAUAGUUAUUUAUCUUACAUGAUUAACAUGUUUUCUGUGGUUGCAGAAUCUAUGCUAUGUAGGUCCUAAUCAACUUACUGUUAUAAGAUAUCACAUUUUGCUUAAGUGUUGUUUUGCAGGUCAAAAUUUUCAAAUCUGCAGGAAAGUUUGGUCACAUAAAAAAGGCGGGAUACUAUUAGAGAAAACUCCUUUAUUGUUUUGAUGCUGACAAAACCUUUCCAAAAUUCUAAUCUGAAUAUUUACAGACUCAAGUAUUAUAGUUUGAAGAAUUCUAGACUCUAUUGUCAAAGUCUGAAGACCACCAGACAUAAGUUUCAAAGUCUGUCCUCACUGACAAUUUCCAAACUAAAGAAUGAAGACUUAUCCAGAUGUCGGAUUAUCUUCAAGGAUUCGAUUCGUAUGGUUUUUGGAAUACCUUAUGGAUGGAUAUAACAUCUACUCAUUUGGUUAUUCUUAUUGGAAUCUACUUCGAUACGAAGAUCUUUCGAAGGGUGAGCAAACUUGGAAGGUUCUACUUAUGGAAACCAAGAUCUUGAUUGUAUGGGCAAACAGGAUUGACGGGCUUUCAUCACCAAUCAUUCAACAACUCAAGAUCACCUUAAUUGAUUAUGUCCAAUGGGUAGAUUGAAAGAAUUCCUUUGGAAAGUGCCAACGGUCGUGAAGGCAUGAAGGCGUAUUUAAAGAUGAUUCUCCAAUUGUUCAAAGCGUGCAUGAAAGAAGAAUUUCAAAGUCUAAAGCUCUAUAGUUCCUUGCCGUUUCAUUCAUCGAGCUCAAAGUUGUACACAAAAAGAGAGAAACACAUAGUGAGACUUCGUGAGAGAUUAGUAGAAACUCUUCACUGAGGAAGUCGAGAUCACAAGCUAUAAAAUCUCUUUUGAUUUAUAGUUAAAUCCAGCCAGUGGGCUAUCAGUGCAAGAGAGUGGACGUAGGCUUGAUCUAAGCCAAACCAUUAUAAACAUUGUGUUUCUUUUUUUUUUUUUUUGGUGACCUAGGAAACCUCGCACAGCUGGCAGCCGGAGGUAAACCAUUGGGGGUGACACGUGCCAAACACCACACACGUGCCACCAAGUAAGUCGCCAAGAGACUCAAAGCUAGCCUUCUUGCAACUUGCGUUGCAGGAGUUUCGAACAUUAGACCUCCUUGAUGGAAGUCUAGCGCCUACCCAGCUAAGCCACUGCGGCGGGUGGUGUGUUUCUAUUCUCUUUCCCUAAACUUCUUACUUUUAAUUCGAAGCUUUAUAUAUUUGUUUAAAGCUGAUCACAUUCUUAUUCUAUCAUCUUCUAAAGGCAAUUUACUUUUACUAAGUCUUGCAAAAAAAAAAAUUAACACCUAUUCAUCUCCGCUCUAGGUGUUUAUACUAGCACUUUCACAAUCUUCACUGUGACCGGCAUCCGUUGAUGUGAGGCAUCCGAACUUAAUCAUGCAUUGUCCUACAUAAACGCAUCAGGACGGGUUCACUACCCCGCGUAAACACAUCAGGGUAUUUAGGUGACCACACACCAGCACAUAUUUGGCUAAAAACAUCAUGCUUUGCACUCAAAUAUCUCAAUUUCAAAUAAUGGACUUGGCCAAUUUUCUUUGUAUUAAAAAUCAUCUCAGUAAAAUAAUCGCGCAUGGUCACGCAUUUGAAUCGAACCAAUAAGCGUGGUACAUUCUCAUUUCAAAAUUCCAUGAUUUUAUAUACUAUAUAAAAUUUUGUCGUCAAAAACCGACACCCGGUAUUUUUCCAAUUAAAUAUCAUAAAAUCAAAUUUUGCAAUAAUAAUUGUCAAUCACCAUCAAGCACUCAAUUUCACAAAUAAGCAGUCAAUUUUACAUUUCAAUUCAACCACGACGAUUAGCAUAAAAUUUCACUAACCAACUAUCCCGGCACAAUUUACGCUAAUAAAAAUUAGUUAAAUAAUUCUCGAGAAAAUAAAUUAUUUUAAUUUAAUUAACUUAACCACGAUUAAAUAAACUAACCAUGGUUAACUAAACUAACCUAAGGUAGUUAAUCCCAAUCAAACUAACCCCUAACUAAACUAAUCUAACUAUCUAGUUCAUCUAACUAAACUAACUAGUUACACUAACUAAAUUACACUAAUCCUAAUUAAGACUAAACUAAUCCUACUAAGUGAAAUUAACUUCCUAAUCCAUGAUUAGGGUAUUAACUCACCGAAUUAAGGCGGCAUCAAGUCCACAGCGACGGCGGCACAAAGGUGGUGAGAUCCCCCAACUACAGCGUCACCAACAAAGGAUUGGACGAUGCUGAAAAAGCCAAGUGAAGCCCAUAGCUAAAGGGCUGGCUUUGGUUUUGUGGGCUGGCUAAAGGCACGACUAGGCUUGGCUAGACGGGCUAACGGGCACGGGGGCAGUUUCGGCUAGGGCAAACAGGGGUGGACGGUGGCGAUUGGUGAGCUUGGGUUGAGCUGAGGCAAUCCAGCGAAGCUGGCGAACUGCUGGCUGGACACGACUAGCGGGCUCGGUGACAGCAUGAGGCGGUGAGGCGGACUAGUUGGGUGGUGGAUGGCGCUGACAGCCAGGCGAGGACUGGUAGUGCUAUGGUCAUUGGACUGGACGACGCGAGGCUGACUGGCUCUGAGCUGGUGGUUUCAAGGGAAUGAAAAUGAAGAAGAAUUGAGGAAGAAGUGAAAAAGCUAAAACAGAAGCAACUAGUUGGCUGGUAGGGAGAAGAUGCGCAUGAGGAGGGGAACAAGAAGCCAAGAGGGUCAAACAUGCAGCCAAUGGGAAUCAAGGGUGAAAUAUCUCACACUCAAGUGCAAGGCCACAAAGUCUUCAGCCCCCAAAUGUCGACGGGCCAACAAAUGGCUGAUUUCCUCUUAUUUCCCUCACAAACAAACUCUUUUUAAUGGCCAAAUAAUCCCUUUUAGUUGCCCAUCCGAAUAUCCUUGAUUUUAAUUUGCCAAUUUGAUAUUUUCGCAAAAUUUCGAGCUCAACGGAAUUUUUUCCAAAAGAUGAGACGAGAUCUUAAAAAUAAAUCGUGACAUGCUCGAACGUUCGAUUCUCAAAAUCGAGUUCAAUUUCAUGGUUAAAAUCAACCGAAUGCGAUUUUAGUACAACCUAACCUACUGGGUGGCUUUUAGAGAUUUUAUUGCGUUUGACCCGUGGUCGAUAAUUUUCGAUCCACAUUUGUGCAUCUCCAACUCGUAAACAAUGUUUGGUUGUCGUAAAAAUCGCAAGAUUUCAAUUAUGGGCACUAAAUAUAAAAUCGAUAAAAAAAUCACGUUAGUACCGUUCGACGUGAAUUUUGCAAUCACGCGGAAUCACCCACAAUUCAAUUACGUGGUUCCGUCGAAUCAACCUAUAUCUGAUUACUAAUCGAUUAUAAUGGUGUUGUAUUGACCCUUGCCGAUUAUUACGGUCAAGCGAUCGAUUUCCAAUUGAAUUCUUAAGUUUGCCGUAUUUAUACCCCUUAACGGCUUCACCUAAUAGGUUAGUUAACUCUUGAGUGGUCAACUUGGAGAAAUAUGACCAUAGGCGCGUCGACGAAAUGUCUAUUUCAUAUAAUCGAGACCGAAUCGAAUUUUAGAAUGUCACACCGAAUCACCCACCUACUAGAGGGAUCCCUGCUCCAAUACCAUUUGUCACGGGUCAAUAAUUUCCUUGGCUAUGGAUUAACCCAUGCGGCACCUGGCAAACGGAAUUCACCAAGCCAACCUUCCUUCUAUAAUUGUUCCAAUUAACAAUACCGCGAAUAGCUCUUUUCAUACAAGAUCGUAUCACGCCCAGCUUGGCUCGGACGUUUAGUCCAUCAAGCGAAACAACAGCCCUCUUUAGGGUCAACAACUGAUUUUGGCCUACCAUGACCUCAUCAGGAGAGCGGCAUUAGUUCCCGACCAAUUUGUGCACGGGAAGCCAACCCUACCUUCAAAGCUCCUAAGUGAUAUUAUAUUUCCAUCCUAGAACUCCUAACACCAAUCAUCCUAAUGUCACUCUCAUGGACCAGUUGUAUUCAUCCUCUUUACGCCCUCGCUCUUCAUUUGAUAACCCCAAACUUCACUCUCAAGGGUUCACGGGUACGGGAGAAUCACGGACCAUAUCACAAUACAUUUAAUCCCCACCACUCAUCUAGGUCCAAAUUUCAGGACUUUGGUACAAGGUUAAAAACCGUAGGGGGUUCUGGCAAGCAAUAAACAAGAGCAAACAUACACAUUUUGCUUGAUGUUUUGUGCUGAUAGAUCCCAAGCUUUGACACUGGAAAGUCUCUCUUUAACAAGAAAUGUGACAUCCCAAAAUUUUGGAAAAAGAAAUUAUUGGAUGAAAAAUCGGAGAUUAGAAGAAAAAGAAAAAUGAUUACAAUAUUAUUAUUAUUAUUUUUCUCUUUCCUCAUUCCUCUCCUUUCCCCUACGUCCGCCCCACUCCCCACGUAUCUCUCUCUCCCUCACGUUUUCUUCUCCCCUCCUUCGCACGCAAUUUCCUCCCCCUCUUUUUUUCUCUCUUUCUUCUUUUUCUCCCUCUCUCUCCCACUUUUCCACCCCCUCACGUACGCCAACUUCUUCUACCGCAAUUUCCCCCCAAUUUCCCCUCUAUUAUGUUAUUGUUUCUCUCCCCUUUCCCCCCUUCCUCCUCUUCUUCUUCUCUUUUUCUCUUUAGUUUCUUUUCUGUUUUGCUUCCAAAACAACACCAUGUGCUAUUGUUUUUGCCCCAAGCUAGCCAUCACCUUGCGCCAUGGCCUUGGGCCAUCACUAUCCACAAGCCGCCAUCCACCGCUGAAGAGCAGCACCACCCGUCCGCGAGCUGUCCGCCAGCCGUUCGUGCCAAAUCAAAAACCACCUCCGCCGAAACCCAUUUUGUCGAGCGCUUCCAUGAUGUUUUAGACAUAAUUGUGCGUAACCCUCGCCACCGCCGUCACACUCAUGUCGUUGGAAUUGUCGUUGGGUGAGUUUAGCUCCUAAUCUUUUGAUUAGUGUCUAAACUUGCUUAGGAGGUUGAUUUAUGCUUAAGGGUUGUUUAGACUAACUUAAGUAUGGAUUAGUUAUAAGUUAGAAUGGUUAUAUUAGCAUUAGAAUGGAUUAAUGUUAGUCUGAUUCAUGAGAUUAACAUGUUUGAAGAUGAUUUGGGUGAAAACAAAGGCUGUUCUUCAAAACCAGUUUCUAGAUUUUUGCUGUUAGCCAUUUUUGUAGACUGAAAUUGGUUAUGAAUUUGAGAUUGAGGUCUUCUGGAAAAACGUUUUAGACAUCCUCAGCUACAACAUAUAUUUUUAUCAAUUUUUUUGGGGAUUCAAAAGAAUGAGAUAUCAGCUCUGUCAUUUUCAAAUAGAACUGCAGUUUUCGCUGGAACUGGUGACCUUUCAAGAUUCUAAGAGUUUUUAUCGACUCUUAAGUUCUGAAUUUCAAAAUAUUUUCUGCACAAAUGUUGUUUGUAACCUCUUCUAGUUUAACAUACUCAAAUUUCAGAUUAAACAAACAUUUUUAAGACCUCGAACCAAACUGAUUACGGAAAACUGACUUUCUGGGAACGAACCUAGCUUUGGUGCUAGAUUGAGCGAUUUACUGGGACGAAUCUAGAAGGAUAUGGGCUUCGGUAUCUCAUGAAAAAUGUUCAAUUAUGGGUUCUUUAUAACAUAUUCAAAUUUGGGAAUUUUCCAAGCUUGAUUAGUUAGGUUUCUGGAUUUAAACUUAGAGAUGCGCGAAGGCCCGGUUUCUGCAAAUUAGGACUGAUUUUAGUUUGGUGAUGGUUCUUGAUGUUUUGCUUGCUUUAAUUAGUGUUUUUAAUGACUGGGCCUAUUAUGGGAUAAAAUUGUGUGGCAUAGAAUGUGACGUGUCACAUCGAUUUUAUCUUGUAAUUGGGACCCGUGUGAUUGAUCGAUAUAUACUGUGUAGCGCACUAAUGUGCAAGAACGCAUGCGAAUCAUGGCAUCUUUGGUUCUAGUCAUGCAUGAGUUAAGCACAAUAUUUAUGGCACGCACGCAUGAAUCAAUAACGUGCAGGGUGUAGCAAUGGCUAGGUGAGGUCGCUUGUAACACAAUUCAUAUGUGAUUGAUUAACUGCAUCAUCUAAUGGCCAUGUGCAUUGUGUGUAUCUUGUUGAGUUAUGACAUGCAGGGUAUGGCAUACUAGGUAAGGAUGUAUGCGAAUUGACUAUUGAUUGUCAGUUGUUAAUCCUUGGUUUGUUUGUGGGGUGGUUCUGAAGAAAUACCCCUAAUUGAGUUAGUGUACUAAUCAUGGGAUUAGGGGAAGAACUCGCUAAGAUUUAUAUCUCACUGAUUAUUGAAUAACCGUUUUCAGGUUCCUAGUGUGAAUAACCCGGAGCUUGAAGCGGAAGGGUUAGGAGCAUAGGUGGCUCAGUAGUCCUUUAUGAGAUAGACCUUAUAUAUAAGCUUGAGGUGUUUAUGAAAGUGUAUUUGAUUUGAAACUGGUUGUCCUACUUUUCUAUCCCAUGUUUGUUGUUGUCAGGGAAUUAGUUAAUUCGCUUCCGCAUGUGCAAUAAAAUGAAAAGGGUCGGCGACAAGUCCUGGAAAUGUUGCAAAAUUCUAUCAACCAUUGAGGGACGUGCACAUGCUCAAGGUUCGGGAUGUGACAAGAAAAGCUCUAGACAACCUUCAAUUAUGCCGAGACUAACCUCAUCACCUCCUCAUAUUCGCUUCUUCUUCCCCUUCUUCUCCUACAUCCCCUGUGUCGUCUUCCUCUGCUUCCUCCCUCAUGCUGCAGAGUCUCAAAUCCAAGAUCAAGAACUGCAAGUCCUGUUGAAGCUCAGGCAAUCCUGGCGAGACCCAUCGUCCCUCGACCACUGGGUGGCCUCCAAUUCAUCCUCCCACUACGCAUGGCCCGAGAUCGAAUGCCAAGAAGGCUCAAUCACUGAGCUCAAUCUCGUCGACCUGAACAUAAAUUAUUCGAUCCCCCCAUUCAUCUGCGACCUCAAGAACCUGACCAAGCUCGAUCUCUCCUACAACAAUAUUCCUGGAGAGUUUCCCACUGUUCUCUACAACUGUUCCAAGCUCGUGUACCUCGACCUGUCCCAGAAUUACUUCGAAGGUCCUAUUCCAUCCGAUAUCGAUUGCAUGGUCGAUCUUCA